rnacentral:lncRNA from 1 species
UCCCCACAAACACAGGAAGCACCUCGGCUGGUUCGUUGCCAUCGCUGACGUUGACUUCAAAUAUUACUAGAUACAAAAUAAAUAAUCUUACAAUAUAAAUUCUGUUCUGAGAUGCACAGCAGAUGCAAAUCAGGACUUCAUUAGGGUUUGUUUGAGCUUGUAAUAUCCAACCAUGCCUUAUUUCAACUUCACUCAAGAGAUAGGCGAACCUGACUUGGUUACCGAGGAAAUUCGGGGGAUUAAAUCUGAAGCUAGUUUUUAUCUAAGCACAUCAGCAGCAGAAGGAUUACGCUCAUCAAGAGUCGCUGACAUCACAGGUGAGAGUUCUUCUUCAGAAUCUUUCAAAUCAAAUUAUGCAAAGCUUCCUGAUUACCUUAAGUCAUGCCUAGACUACUCUGCCAUUGUUUGUGGGAGAUCUUUUGUAGAGAUAGGAAAACUAGUUCGGCUUUUGUUGGCUGAAGGUCUUAUAGAAGACAGACCAGGGGAUAUCAUGGAGGAUGUAGCAGCAAAUGUUCUCAAGGAAUUGAUUGACCUAGGAAUGCUUCAAGAAGAAGAACAAGGGACUGAAGUAAGAGUCCCUGCAUCGUAUCUCCGGUUAUGUAUUCUUAAAUUGGAGAAACAAGAUUUUGUUUCUAAAACUGCAAACUCACCUGUGCGUUUAGGGAUCAGAGAUGAUGGAAGGGAUAUCUAUCCUAACGUUGAAGGCCUUCUAAUUCAAUCUCUAUUUAUUAUUAGUACACACCGUGAUUCUUCUUUUGAUUCUCCCCGAGGCCUUUCACGGGCCUAUAUGAGAAAUGUUUGUGGUAUGCACUUUCUGUUGGUGUUGGAUUUGGAUGGCUGGAUAGAGCGCUUACCUGAUGAAUUGGGAGACUUGAUUCACCUGAGGUACUUAGGCUUGUUUUACUCACAACUAGAUGAGCUUCCAGGGACUUUAGGGAAUCUUAAAAGACUGCAAACUUUGGAUAUAAGGGGGUGUGGAAAACUACGCAAACUACCAAUACAAAUUCUGCAUAUCCAGCAGUUGAGACACCUUCUAAUGUCCCACUGCUUUAAUGAUGGUGAAAUUAGAGUUCCGAAGGGCAUUGGAACAUUGGUAAAUCUUCACACUUUGUCUGGUAUUUAUGGUGGAGAUGAUAUUGCCAUGGAAUUGAUUGCCUUAACCCAGCUACGAGAGCUCGGCGUUAAGCGUGUGAGUGCCGAUCAUGCCAGUGAGCUGUUUGCAGCUAUAAAGAAGAUGGAGAACCUCACAUCCCUAUCGCUAGAAGCAGAGGGAAACUACUUUGAAGGUACUAUUUUUCCUGAAUCGGAUGCGUUUUCUCCUCCGCCACUUCUUCAAGAGUUUUCCUUACGUGGGGGUUUAAUUGAGAUGCCCGUUUGGUUUGCCUCCAUGGAAAACCUCACCCACCUAUCAUUAGGGUAUUCUAAUCUAUCCGAGAAUCCAACUUCAGUCCUUCAGUUGAUUCCCAAAUUGAAGCAUCUUAAACUCUGGGAAGCCUACAAGGCAAGGCACAUUGGUAAAGAAUUUUGCAAUGCAGGUGGUUUCCCUGUGCUGGAAACUCUCACAAUUGCUUCUGCGUUCCUGGCGGAAUGGACUGAAAUUGAAACUGGAGCUUUUCCACGUUUAAGAUAUCUUUGUUUUUAUUGCUGUCCAAGCUUGAUGUUUCUUCCUGAAGGGUUGCAGAACAUUUCCACACUUCAAGAUCUGUGUUUCUUCCCCUGGAAUCCAGACCUUAAAAGGCGAUUGAAGGGUGAAGAGAAUUACAAGAUCAAGCAUGUCCGAGUAUUUGGGAAGGUUUGAGAACCGUUGAUUUUCCAACCAAGAAAUGGAAAAACAUCAACCACAAUAGUUUCCAGAGGAAGUUUUUCGAGGAUGAAAUGCUUUUGCUUUACUCCUCAAAUAUCAUCUCCUGCUUUCUGUUCAUUUACUUCAAUAUUCUGGUGAUGUGUGCUAUCCUCUACUGUCUUGUAUACCUAAAUUUGUGCAAUCUCCAGCGGAGAAACCAGUGUCCUAGACUCCAAAAAAUCUAUCUUGAUGAUGAACGAUGUGUUUAUCUAUUUGCAUUUCCUUAAUAUCUGGAUUAUUAUCUAAUUAUUCUAUAGAAUUGCCCUUCUUCUAGAUUUCUCUCUAAGGAUUGAAUCAUUAGAAAAUCAAGGUUUUUUAUUCCUGUUUUUUUCGCUUGAAGUGGACUUGCUAGGUAAGAAACACGUCUAUUAUAUUGGCAGCAGUUCAUAUAAAUUAUACAUCCCAUUCCGUGUUUACAUAGAAUCAAAGGCGUAACAAAUAUUGUUUAUGCCUUUUAUUUUAUUCAAUUAAUUAAUUUUAUAUAUGUUUAUUUUUUUAUUAUUUAUUUAAAUAAAAUAUUAAUUUUUGUGAACAGAUUGUCUUGAAGAUCCAAGUUGCAAGAUCAAAUAUCUUGGUCUAUAUGCGACUUUUAACUUUUUAAUUUUUAUUUUUAUUUAUCAGUAAUGAUUAUUUAUUUAUUUAUUAACAUAUGUAUUUUUUAAUUUAUUUUAUUAGAUGUAUAAAUAAGUUUUUUUUAAUUUUGAUUAAAAACAAAACAUUGAAAAAAUCUACAUAUUUAUUUUUUUAUAAAAACCUCAAAGUUAAAUAGCUAUUAAAAACUAGCCGCCAUUGUAGGGUUUGAUAGAAAAGAUAUUGGGCUGGUAUAUCAUAUUAUUACUGUUAUUAACUAUUACCACUAUAUACUAAAAAAUAACAACAGUGCAUUAUUGUGCUCAAUUUGGACAGGACUUUUCAAGAACAAUGUUGUUUUUUUUUUUUUCAUUUUGAUCAUCAAAUAUUAUUAUGAUUAUCAGUAUUAUUGUUAUAUUCUUGCAAGUUAAAUUUAAAUUUACUAUUUUUUUAUAAGUUUAAUUUAUGCAUAUAUGAUCCCCAUAGUCUAAGAAUUAUAAGUUUCAAUCCUAGAUUUAUUUAUUUAUUUAUUUUAGUCUUCGAGUAUUGAAAGAUGUUAGAAAAAAAAAAAAAAAAGUCAGUUGAUCACGUUCUUGUUAUCAAAAAAACCAAUCUUGUUAUCAAUGAAUUUGUCUUACAAAUAUAAGUUCUAUGAAGAAGGUUUAGAACUUUUAUCCUGUUAAAAACACAUAUCAAGACUUAGAAAGUUUUUUUAUUUAUUUAUUUGGUUUGAUUUUAGAUUUUAGACAGAUUAAAUGGUGUUUUGGAGUUAACAUGAGUUUAAUUAGGUUCUUAAAAUGUUUCUUUUUUAAUGUUUUGAGAUAAAAAAUAAAUUGAAAAAUAAUAUUUGAAGCUGCAAAACUCAUACUUUAAAUUCAAAUCAUCAAAAUGGUAAAAAUUCAAACUAGAAUGUGGCACCCAUUGUUUCUUAUUAAAAAAGGAAUAUUAGAAAAAAUAAAGCAUGGAAUAAAAGUUUUUUUUUAUGGUAAAAUGAACCAUUACUUUGAAUUAUGAUAUAAGAAGGUAAUAUGCAAUUGUUUUUUUUUAAAAAAAUGUUCAUAAAUAUUAAAUGAGAAUGAAACUAUUUUGUUAUGUUUUAUUGCAUAAUGUUUACAGAAUUUUGAUGAUUAAUUAUUCUUUAUGUUUUUCUUCUGUUGUGUACAAAUUAUUGAUUCAUGAUUUUUUAUAUUUGUAAUGAAAAUUGCUUUUCAAAUCAUGAUAAAUCUUUAUUUAAAAAACAAUACUUUUAUUAAAAAACAUGGUUUUUGAAAACCAAGAAGAAAUACAUGAAUAAUAAAAGUGAUUUUUAAUUGAAAACGAUAUAUAUUUUUCUUUUUUAAUUCAAAUCAUUAAUAUUUUUAUAAAUAAAUAUUUUAAUUAUUUGUAGUUUUUAUUCAAAAACAUGCUACUAAUUAAAAAAAAAAACAUGUUCUUGUCAUACAAAAAUACAUGAAUAAGAAAUGAAAAACUCACUUAACAUAAUUUUUACACGACUAUUUGUUUUUCUCUCCACGGAAUCGGUUGGAAGUGGACUUGACAGUUAAGAAACACGUCUAUUAGAUUGGCAACAGUUCAUAUAAAUUAUACAUCCCAUUCCGUGUUUACAUAGAAUCAAAGGCGUAGCAAAUAUUGUUUUGGCCUUUUAUUUUAUUUAAUUAAUUAAUUUUAUAUAUGUUUAUUUUUGUAUUAUUUAUUUAAAUAAAAAAUUAAUCUUUGUGCAUAGAGUUAUUAAACACGAUUGUCUUGAAGAUCCAAGUUACAAGAUUAAAUAUUUUAUCUAUAUGUGAAUUUUAACUUUUUAAUUUUUAUUUUUAUUUAUCGUUAAUGAUCAUUUAUUUAUUAACAUAUGCAUUUCUCAAUUUAUUUUAUUAUAUGUAUAAAUAAGUUUUUUUUUUAAUUUUGAUUUAAAAAAAACAUUGAAAAAAUCUACAUAUUUAUUUUUUUAUAAAAAAAUUCCAACUCUAAAUCAAAUAGCUAUUAAAAACUAACCAAUGUAGGUUUGAUAUAGAGGAUAUUGGGCUGGUAUAUCAUAUUAUUACUGUUACACCAUUAAAUAGUUUUACCGACGGUUUAAGUUCGUCGGUGUGAGGCACAAAAACCAUCGGUAAUAUUUUUACCGACGGGCUCAUCGACAAAACACGUUAGUUGAAAUUUUAAUUGUUGGUAAUUUUUCUUUUCAUCACUAAUUCUAUUAAUAAUUAAAAAAAACCAAAUAUCGACGAGACAACAGUAUAUUAUUGUAAAAACUAGCCACUAUAGCUUAGAUUGAGAGGAUAGUGGGCUGAUAUAUCAUAUUGUUACUCUUAUUAACUAUUACCACUGUAUACUUAAAAAAAAUAAAAAUGUACAUUGUUGUGCUAAAUUUGGAUAGGAAUUUUAAAGAAUGGUGUUGUUUUCUUUCAUUUUUAUCAUCAAAUAUCAUUAUGAUUAUAAUUAUAAUUAUUAUUAUUGUUAUAUUCUUGCAAGUUAAAUUUGAAUUCGCUUCUUUUUAUUUAUAAGUGUAAUUUAUGCAUAUAUGAUCCCUAUAACUUUAGAAUUAUAAGUUUCAAUCAUAGACUUAUUUAUUUAUUUAUUUAUUUCAAUCUCGGAGUGUUGAGAGAUGUUAAGAAAAUAGAAAAGAAAGAAAGAAAUUCAGUCAGUCACAUUAUGGUUAUGAAAAAAGCCAAUCUUGUUAUCAAUGAAUUUGUCUUCCAAAUAUGAGUUCUAUGAAGAUGGUUUAGAAUUUUAAUCUUGUUAAAAACAGCGAUCGAGAUUUAGAAAGUUUUUUUUAUUUGGUUUGAUUUUAGAUAUUUAGACGGAUUAAAUGGUGUUUUGGAGUUAAAAUGAAUUUAAUUAAGUUCUUAAAAUGUUUUUUUUUUUAAUGUUUUGAGAUAGAAAUAAAUUGAAAAAUAGUAUUUGAAGUUGCAAAACUCAUACUUUAAAUUCAAAUCAUCAAAAUGGUAAAAAUUCAAACUAGAAUGUGGCACCCAUUGUUUCUUAUUAAAAAAGGAAUAUUAGAAAAAAUAAAGCAUGGAAUAAAAGCUUUUUUAUGGUAAAAUGAACCAUUACUUUGAAUUAUGAUAUAAGAAGGUAAUAUACAAUUGUUUUUUUUUAAAUGUUCAUAAAUAUUAAAUGAGAAUGAAACUAUUUUGUUAUUUUUUAUUGUAUAAUUUUUACAGAAUUUUGAUGAUUAAUUAUUCUUUUAUGUUUUUCUUCUGUUGUGUACAAAUUAUUGAUUCAUGAUUUUUAUAUAUUUUUUAAUGAAAAUUGCUUUUAUUAUUCAUGUAUUUCUUCUUGGUUUUCAAAAAACAUGUUACUAUAUAUUUUGUUAUUUUUUAUUGUAUAAUUUUUACAGAAUUUUGAUGCUUAAUUAUUCUUUUAUGUUUUUCUUCUGUUGUGUACAAAUUAUUGAUUCAUGAUUUUUAUAUUUUUUUUGAAUGAAAAUUGCUUUUCAAAUCAUGAUAAAUAUUUAUUUUAAAAACAAUACUUCUAUUAAAAAAACAUGUUUUUUGAAAACCAAGAAGAAAUACAUGAAUAAUAAAAGCAAUUUUUAAUUGAAAACGCUAUAUAUUUUUAUUUUUUAAUUCAAAUCAUUAAUAUUUUUAUGAAUAAAUAUUUUAAUUAUUUGUAGUUUUUAUUCAAAAACAUGCUACUAAUUAAAAAAAAACUUGUUCUUGUCAAACAAAAAUACAUGAAUAAGAAAUGAAGAACUCACAUAACAUAAUAUUUUUUUCUCUCCGCAAUUUAAAUCAUUGUAUAUUUUUUUUAAUAAAUAUUAAUUUUAAUUACCACAAAACUAAAUGAAAACAGAUUUUGAAAACCGCCACACAAGGGAAAAAAUUAGUAAAUAUAUUAAAAGAGCUAGACUUUUUAUUGUAACUCUGAUAUUGUUCAAAUAGAAAUAAAACAUCGUGGAUUACUCCGUGGAAAAACACUGCAAUCUCUAUUGUUGACCUACAAAUAAAAAAAUAUUGAUUUUAUGCUCUAGUCCCUAAAGCUUUUAAUUUUUAGUCAUUUUAAUUUAAAGUCUCUUAGUUUUUGUCUUCAAACUUCAUUUUUAUAAUAUUUCAGUUUUUAUAUUCCGAGAAAAGAGAGAGAAAUUUUUCACUCAUCCAUAUUUAUCCGACAAAAAAAUCAAUCUUAAUAUCAAUAAAUUCAUUUUAGAUUGGGAAGGUCAAUAAAAAUGCUUUUGCUCUUUAACCAUACCAAAAAAUAGAUUGAAGCAUUUUAUUAUAGCUUUGGUAUUGUUCAAGCAUUGAUAAAACCUAUGAAAUCUCUAUUGUCCAGUAAGAAAUAAAACACUGUUCAUUUUACACUUUGAUCAUUGGAGUUUUCAAUUUUUUUUCAUAUUUAAUCCAUGUAGUUUUUAUUUUGUUCAUUUUAGUCUUGGAACUUUAUUUUCACCACAUUUUUGUUCCUAGAUUCUAAGAGAGGAGAAGGAAAAUAGUUAAAAAACAAAGAAGAUAAAUAUUUUAGCUAGCCAUAAAAGAGACUAAUGUUGGUGUUAAUGAGUUAAUUUUAGAAAGAUAAAAUUAAUGGAUGUGGUAUUUCUCCUUUAACCAUGAUGGAAAAAGUAAAUUGAGGCCUGAAAUUUUUUUUUUCCUUCUUGAUUUAUGAUUUUUUAAGUGAUUAAAUAAUAUUUUGGGAUUGUAAAUGAAGUUACCAAGGUUCAUAAUAUUUAUUUUUAAUUGUUUUUAGAUGAAAAGAAGUUGAAGUUUUGAUUUUAAGGGUCCAAAUAUCUCAGAAUCUUCUAGUACUCGAAAAUUGUACCGGUAGAUAACACGUAGUCUAACCAAGCAGAUAAUGUGUUGUCUAUUUAAUUAUUUUUUUAUAUAAAAAAAUAGGUUAGACUACAUGUAUUCUGCCCUUCCUUCCAGACUUAGGUGUGAUGGCUCUUCACCUUUUGUUUUUUUCUUACAUUUUUUAUUUUUUUAAUAAAAUUAUCUUUAAAUAAAAUUAUUAAAAUUAUUUUUGAUUGAUGAGUUUAAGUAUUGAAAUUGAAAGGACAAAGAGAGAGCCAAACUUAGAAAAUAGAUGUUGGUGCAGUCUAAACUGGAACACUGUUCGGUAAUUGGGUCAUAUCUCGAGUUCCAGGUGUCCAAAUGACCUUAACUUUUUGAAAAUAUUUGGUAAGACAUAGGUCUAUAACUUUCAUGUGGAGUCCAAGAUUUAAAAAAGUCGUUUUUAAGUCCAAAUUAUAGCAACAACGGAGAAGUCCGAAUCUGUCCUGUAGCUCAGACAUUGUUCAGUGUUGAACCCAUAUCUCGAGUUCUAGAAGUCCAAAUGACCUCAAUUUUUUUUCCUGGAAAGAUAAGACAAUUUCCUAUAACUUUUGUACGUACAGGUGGUUCUAGUUCUGAUGCUAACAAUGACGUUUUAUUUAGACAAGAAGAUAAGAGUUUUCACCAAGUCAAGAGUUGGCCACCCACUUAACAAUUAGUCAUCAAAUCAAUAGUUUCAAAUUUUGGCCUAUAAAAAAAGGCAUUUGCCAUGUAUUUAGGGGCUUGGUUGUUCAUAUCAAGAACUUGUUCUUGCUCUCUUUUUUUAUAUUUGUUUUUAUAAUUAUUAAGUUUUACUUUCAUUAGUAUUUGUUUAUGCUUUUCAUUUUCUUUCCUUUACUUAGUUAAUUUGUAUCUUAUUUAUGUUCUUGUUUUGUUUAUUUAUGUUUCUCUUCUUCAUUAUGUUUAGUUAAGUUUAUUAUGUCAAGGUGAAAAAGUUACACUAAUGGUGUAAGAAUAAGUAUAGUGUAAACUCAACAUGGACCUUAAUGUUUAAUAUUAACAUGUCUUAUCUUUUUAUCUCACUAAUUCUUAAUACCUGCUUGUUAAAUGGUUAAUCUAGAUUUGUGUUGUACAAUACUUGGUACAACAAAUGUUUGACACUCUCAUAGCCUAACCGUAUGGUAUUAUGGUAUUACCUAUACCUAUGUUGUGCAAGGAACUUGAUUUGUUGUUAACAUAAGUUAGCAUCAUGAAUUCCUGAAAAUAUUUAAAAGUUUGGUAUUACUUAAAUAAGAUAAUUAAUAUAAUCAUGUUAAUAAUUUAUAAUAAGCUAUUAAUGAUAAAUCAUCCGAUUGGAACCUCUUUUGUGUGUGGUUUCUAGUUGAAUAAUAAGAGUUUAUAGUAUACUUGUUUGAAAUACCAUUAGUGGAUCCUCUAACGUUGACAUUUGUUUUUAUCAUUGUUUAAUCUUUAUAUUAAUCUUUCAUCUCAAAGUUCUCAUCAACUUUUUCUUCAUCUUCUUUAUUAUUAUUAUUGUUGUUGUUGUUGUUGUUGUUAUUGUUAUUGUUGUUGUUGUUGUUGUUGUUGUCGUUGAUGUUGUUAUAUUAUUGUUGUCUAUAAUUUAUACAAUUAACCUCCCUGUGGUUUGACCCCGUCUUGCCUGGUUAUUUAUUACUUCGACACUCUUACACUUAGAAGAAAACAUCAAUCUUUUGGUCGUGUCAAAUUGCACUAUAAGAUAGCGAUGUGUUUUUUUUUAUAUUGUUCCUUAAGAACAAAAAAGUUUAUUUUGGUACCUAUAUUUUUGAAGUUUUACAUAUUUUUUUGGUAAUGCAUUUUUACAUACUUUAGGUGCGCUCGAGCUUGAUUUUUUUUGUCCGUCACCUUUUUUCUUCUCUUUUCAAUCAAUAUUUUUGUCUUAAAAGAAAACAAAAUAAAAUUCUAUUCUAAAUAAAAUUAUUGAUAUGAUAUUAAAAACAUUAUCAUGCUGUGCUAUAAUUUUUAAAUAAAAUUAUAGUUUUUAUGGUAAUAUUAAUAAUUGUUUUAUAAAUGAUAAACAUCAACAACAACUGCAAAUUAAAUUAAUUUUGUCUUAAUGAUAAUUUUUUAAACUCAUAAAAUCGUAGCUAAUGGAGUGAUUGUUGGAGAGGUUUAUAUUUUUUAUUACAAAACUAAUAAAUCUAAAAAGGAUGAAUUAUUUUGUGUAAGAAUUUUUAGGCCUAGAAAAAUGGGAUUUGUGCUUGUGAUAAUUAUCUAGUAUUGGAGAUGAAAAGAAAGAACCAAAAUUUUAAAGGAAUAAAUAUAAUGAUAUUUUGAUUUGCAGUGUGGUAAUAAAUAGGAGCAACAUGGGAUCAUUCCUUUCAAAGCCAAAAAGAGGAAUUUAUUGAAGGGGAAAUAAGAAAUAUUUUGUUAUUCUUAAGAGGGGAUUCUUUCUUUUAAUUGUUGGUGUUCCUGUGAUUUCUUAUAUUUAGAUGUGAUUUAUUAAUAAUAAUAAAUAAAAAUAAUAAGAAAUAGAAAGAAAUUCAUCGUCUGGAUCGUAUAUCAACAUCCAAUUAUUAAAAAAAAAUGAAAAAAGAAAAGGUUCCAUCACAACUCAUAUAGAUACAAAUAGUGGAAGCAAGAAUAUUUGACAUAUUUCAUUUUUAAGCAGAAACUUGAUUUUUCUUCCUGAAGGGUUGCAGAACAUUUCCACACUUCAAGAUCUGCGUUUCCGCCCCUGGAAUCCAGACCUUAAAAGGCGAUUGAUGGGUGAAGAGAAUUACAAGAUCAAGCACGUCCCAAAUAUUUGGAUGGUUUGAGAAUCGUUGAUUUUCCAACCAAGAAAUGGAAAAACAUUAACCACAAUAGUUUCCACAGGAAGUCUUUCAAGGAUGAAAUGCUUUUGCUUUACUCCUCAAAUAUCAUCUCCUGCUUUCUGUUCAUUUACUUCAAUAUUCUGGUGAAGUAUGCUAUCCUCUACUGUCUUGUAUACCUAAAUUUGUGCAAUCUCCAGCGGAGAAACCAGUGUACUAGACUUCAAAAAAUCCAUCUUAAUGAUGAACGAUGUGUUUAUCUAUUUGCAUUUCCUUAAUAUCUGGAUUAUUAUCUAAUUAUUCUAUAGAAUUGCCCUUCUUGUAGAUUUCUUAAGGAUUGAAUCCUUAGAAAAUCAAGGAGACAGAUCUGUCUUUCGGGUUACCAGUGAAAAUUUAUUCUUGUUUUUUUCGUUUGGAAGUGGACUUGCUAGAUAAGAAACACGUCUAUUAUAUUGACAACAGUUCAUAUAAAUUAUACAUCCCAUUCCGUGUUUACAUAGAAUCAAAGGCGUAGCAGAUAUUGUGUCUACAUCGCAUUAAAAUUUGAAUAAACCAUCGGAUGCACGAGUAUGAACUACCCUGUAUCCCUAGUUAGCCUAGAUGCUACUGUGUCCUCUUAAUGUUCUCUAAUACAGGCGUGAUAAGAACAUUUUAUUUGAUGAUAGAGCUUUCUUCUCGUCCCAUGUAUCAAGUCACUACAUUUCCAUUGGUAUUGUCGAUGAUUGCUGAUAACCUCUCCAAGAAAAGGUUAAAGGCUUCUGGUGGACUAAACAUGCUUAUUCUGACAUACUUUGGACUAGCCCCAAACCUCUCCCCACUUCUUGCUAUUAUCUUAUGCUCUCUUAAACGACUCUCCCAGUCUAUAUCCUCCUUGCUGUGCAACCAUGCAAAAGCUGUUUGCAGAAAAGCAAAAUAUGUCAGAAGAGAUUUUCAAAUGAGCCUACAAUAAAGUUGGGGUGUCCUAUUUCAAAAGUAACAAAAAUAAUAUUGAUCUAAUUAUGAGCAUUACCAGGAUUUGAAUACAUGUACUUUCCAGUGAAGUUGCAGUAAUCUCGUGGGUACUUUGGCAGACUGAAGACUCUGCUGUUCUUGACAACAUUUCGCAAUCUCUCCCACCUUUCUUUCAGAAUGCUAUGGCUAUACUCAAAGAAGUUCUCUGAAUCAGCAGUCCUACAACCUUCGCCAAGCACUCCAAGAAUCUUCGCAGCUCGAAUCUGAGAUUCUUUAGAUACACCGAUGGAACUGAUCUGCAUGUAUUCAGUCAUCUUUCUAGCUACCUCUUUAUCCUUAACAAGUGCCCAGCUUCAAUUUGGAAACAAAAUAAUUAGCAGAAAGGAACAAGAAUGAACUACAAAUUAAACACAGGCAAAGAAGAAUGAUAUAUUGUUGCGAUCUUCUUAUUCCAACAAGUCAUGCAUGGCGACAUUAAUCUCUUUAACUAAAGAAUGUCCUGCUCACCCAAUCCGGGAACCAGCAUGUCCAGUGCAUUUGGAAAAUGUGAACAGCAUAAUAUCAUGAUCCAAGGGUUGAGUGAUAGGCGUGUAUUGUGGCCAGUAGUAGGCAAGGUCAUAGACAAGCUUCCCUUCUCCACGGUUCACCACAGCUUCUCGGACAGCACCGUCAGGAUUAUUCGGCGAGGUUACGACCUCAAUAUAAGGUCCAUCCUUAUCGAAGGUGUGCGCAUCUCCCUCCCAUUUAUAGAGUCCUGAACGCAGGAAUUCUGCCUGAUCUUUAUAUCCCUGCAGGCAAUGAAUAUCACAGGCACAUAAAUGAAUUAAUCUUCCACGACGAAUGAAGGGCGCCGGAGAAUUGACCUGUCCUCUUUUUUUUUCUUUUUUCUUUUCACCAUAGACGCACCAUGAGGUAAGAAACCAAUACAUGUCUUGAAUUAGUAUUUUGUCAGUCAAGUAACAUGAACAGGAAAUUAAGAAAACUUGCAAUCACAUUAUGGAUUAAUUAAUCACAUAUGCGUAAAUAAAUGCAUGUGAAUAAGCAUGCAAGCAGUCAAGCAUUUGCAACUCUGUUGAUGCCCAAUUGCAUAUGAUAUAAUUAAAUAAACUCAAGAACCGAGGUUCUGCAGCAAAGUUUGUGGAAAAUGUGGGUAACAUGCAAAGUUGUCUGCUCCAAGGACCGCAACAAGGGAGAUGGAUUUGCUAUUUUCUAAGAUGAAACAUCUUUGUUCCUGCUCGCGUAGCAAACGCCAGGCGCAAGUUCUCCCAAGUUUUGACACAAACGAGACAUGGUCAUGUUACCUAAAUCUUAGUUUCUCUUUACGAAACAUGUUUGUCGCCAUGUCUUUUGUUACAAACAGCACUCAUUUUUAUUUAUUGAUUAAUGAGUUAUUUUAUUUGUAAGAAAUACCAUUAACGUGAUGUUCUUAUUAAAUUAAGCUCUUUCUUUUUCAGAAAUAAUCUUAAUGAUCUCGCACGUACGACUUUUUCACUGAUGGCUGCGCCGGCCAAGCUUAAUUUCCUUAACCAGGCAAAGAUGGCUCUCUAAAUAAAUAAAUACAUGAGAAAUUAAAAAAGUAAACUAAAUUUAAGCAGUUCUGUUUUAUGCAAGACAAAUAAACAAAAAAAAAGAAGAUUAUAUUAGAUACUCUUGUUGGUUUGACUUUGACUUAUCAAAACUGUCUUGGCUGGUUUCAGAUCUCCUAGGUAUACAUCCUUAGAGGAUCUGACUCCUCUAAUGUUAGAGGUGACCCGCCUCAUCAUGUCAAAAAACUAAAAUUAGAACGUUGAUUUUGAAAUUUAUAAUUUGAAUUUUCUCAAAUAAAAAAAUAACUAUUAAUUUUAAAAAUAAAAAAAGAUCUGCCCACCAAGUAAAAUAAAUCUCAAAUACUGUGUUUUAGAUUAAUAUAUAGAUUUUCUUAAUAUAACGGAUCAUGCUAUCCCUAACUUAAAGGGAGAGCUCAUUCCAAUCGUUUGAAGAUCGUCAUUGAGUUCCAUGAGUAGGUUAUUAAGCCAGUAUUGAGUCUGGUUUUACACCAUCAGAUCAAGUGAAAGCAUGUAAAGACUUGCACCAAAUUAUGUAAACUGAAAGAAGUUUGAUGAGGAAGGGAGCGGUGGCUACCGAGUAAAAAGGAGCAGCAGCUACAAGACUGACGGGGUGGCGAUCAGCCGGAGAAGAGAGAGCAUACAGAGCAGCCAUUAAGAGCUGUGUUGAACCUGUCCCAACCACGAUGUGGCGAUCCUCUGUUACUGCGUUUCCAACAACACGAUGCAGUCGCUUUAUGGCAUCACCAAGUUGUGGCUGCAAAAACCAGCAAAUGUUGCUAAUAUCACUGAAAUAGCUCAUCAAAUCACACCCUUCAAUCAUCAACGUACACUUGUCUCCCAUUUUCCUCCAGUAUGGCUCGAACAACGUUGGAUCUCCCCUGCAUUUCCGCAUAACACAUCACUUCCUCGUACGUUAAGAAAAACUCUAUCCCAGAUAACAACACUACGUGAUAAUUAUACCAAACUAAAACUGUUAAACCGUAAAUGACUAUAGCCAGGCCAUUGCACCGGCGCAAUGUAGCCACAACGAGGUGGUGUAUGCUUUUAAUUUCCGAUAGAAAACAAAAGAAUUUAAUAAACGUGAACUUACUGAUCUAGAUUGAUCAUGGAAUCCGGUGAGAGACUUGUCUUUGUGGGCUUAGUUGUCGUCGGAGAAGAGUUUUGGUUAUUGGUUGCUCCAUUCUCUAAACCGCCCAUUUUUCUCUUCUCUUUUCUUCUGUUCUUUUGGUUUCCUCAACUACAGUCAGUGCUCGUGGUUUCUCGUAUACGUGCUUUGAUGGGCUAUGCAAAUACCUGUAUUUAUACUAAAUUAAUGAUGCGUCAGAAACUCUUUUUUUUUUUUUUUCAAUUCUGUAUAUGAGAGUACAUGUUAUAUUAUACGUGGGGGUGUUUUUAUUCUUGCUUUGCUUUGGUUUUUUUAUUUUUAUUAUGUUACCAAGCAUCUAGACUUUUGUAGUUAUAUUAUUCUAUAUUUUCUCAAGAAAAGUUGCAAGAUUAUCUGUCAAAUGCAAUUUUGCUUGUUUCCAUUCCAUAAUUAUUCCUAACCCAUAUUAACAUAUUAUCAUUGAUGGAAAGAUACAAUGAAUUCAAAACAUCAUAUGUGUUGUCUUAAAAAAAUUAGUUUGUAGUUAAAAAUAAUUUUUAAAAAAUAAAAACAAUAUUAUUUUAAUGUAUUUCCAAGUAAAAAGCAUUUUGAUAACAAAAUCAACUAUAUUAUCAAACAAACCCUGAAUUUUGAUGAUAACAUUUGAGAAAUUAUUAGUUUUUUUUAACGUACUAAACUGAUAUAAGGGGUGUAUUUUUAAUUUAUCUAGAAAAAAAAAAUCAAUCUCAAUACCUUUAUUGUUGAAAAAAAAACUAACAUGCAAUGUACAUAUAUCACGCUGCUCACGGGCUCCAAAACCUAUCAAAACAGAAUCUGAUCGCACGCGCGCGCGCACAUACAUGAUAUUUAAAAUACACAUAGCAUAAAUCAUGAGAGAUAUUGUAGAAAAUGAAGUUCCUAAAUGAGAAAUAAAUGAGAAACAUGCAAUAUAUCAACCAAUGAAUUAAGAGUGUAUUUAAAAAUGUGAUGGAAUCUUGCUUCUAAUUAAGGGUUUUAAAUUUUUUAUGUUUUUUAAUUAUUUUGAUGUGCUGAUAAAAAAAAAAAUUUAAAAUUCAUUUUAAAAAAAUUAUUUUAGAAAAGCUCAAUUCCCAAUCAAUUUAAUAUUGAAGGAUAGAAUCAUAAAAAAAAUCAAUUUAGAAAAAUAACUCGAGAUAACUAGUGAUAUUUUUAAAAUCAAUGAAAAAAUAAAUAAAUAAUAAUAAAGCCUACUCAGCCUAGCCUCCAAUUGAAUAAAUGAUAAAGGAUAAAAUUAAAAAAAAAUCAAGUAAACCCAGACGAACCUUCUAUAUUUAGGUUAACCUCUAAACUCACAACCCUUAAAAUCCUGGAUCUGGACUUAAUAUAGAGGCUAAAUCCCUGACCAAUUUAAUAUUAAAGGGUGAAUCCAAAAGAAACUUGGGCAUUUAUUACUUGGAUCAUAUUCGCGAUUUAUUUCCAUACUUGAACAAAUAAGAAUUUGGAAGGUUUAAAUUUUGUAAUUGUCGCUUCUAUAAUAGAACAGUUAAAUAGGAAAAACAAUAACAGUUUAAAAAACUUGUCAAAGUAAAAAAAAAAAAAACAAUAACAGUGAAAAAAGUUAGAAUCAAAUUUUAUAGGAAAAAGAGUCAAGGAAGAUGAAAAUAUGAAAAAGUUAAUUUAAAAAACCAUUUCAAACAAACCAAAUAGAAAUCAAAAAAAUGAAAAUCAAAUUUGAAAGAUUUAAAAAGUAAAAGGGGAUGAAAUUAAAAAAGAAUUCUGAUUUUAUAUAUUAUUCAAAAAAUUAUUACAAAUAUUGAAGGAUGAAAUUAAAAAAAAAAAAAUUUUAAAACUCACCCAAAGAAAAUUCAACAAAGAACAAAAAAAAAAAACCUUGAGAUAAGUUGAGUCAUUUAAAAAAUAAGUGAAAAACUCUAUAGAAAGCUAAUAAAUAAAAAUAACAGAGCUUAAUCUCUAAUUGAAUAAAUAUUAAAUGAUAAAAUUAAAAAAACAUGAGCUUAAAAAAUAAUUAAAAAAAAACAAGCAAACAUGAGCGAAUCACUUAAAGUCAAGCUAAUAUCUAAAACUUGCAACCUAUGCGAUCCUAAACCCGAACACAAUUAAGAAGCCUAAUUCAUAACUAAUUUAAUGUUGAAGGAAGAAAUCGAAAAAAAUACAAAUUUAAAAACUUUGUCAAAGUAAGAAAAAUAACAAUCAAAAGAAUGAAAAUCAAAUUUGAUAGGAAAAUAAACUUAGGGAGAAUGAAAUAAUAGAAAAAAAUAUUAAAAAUAAUCUCAAACAAAAUAAAUAGCAAUCAAUAAAUUGAAGAUCAAAUUUGAAAGAUAAAAAAAGUGGAAGAGGGGGAUGAAACUGAAAAGGAAUUCUAAUUUUGAUUAUUAUUCAAAGUAAAAUAAAUAAUAAUUAAAAAGGACAGUGACCAAAAGUUAAGAGAAAAAAUUAAAGGGAUUGGUUUGAAAUUUUGAACAAUUUGACUCAAAAUUUGAGGUGGAAAGAGAAGGAGGAAAAACAAGAAAUCGUUGUCAGUAUCAAAUACGAGGUGUGUUUAAUGCACAUGCCAUCCCGUCGUUGAGAGGAUACGAAAACCUUUUUAAAGUGUCAUUAAAUAUCGUGUUUGGUGACCAGACAAAUUGAUAAGCACCACUUGAAAGGUACUGGGAUCAUCGACUUGCUUGUGCGUGCCAUACACGUGUUUAAAGGUUUUUUUAAAAAUAAUGUUUAAUAAUAUUCAUAUAUAAAAGUGCUCUGAUUCUCUUUGAUAUUUUAAAAAAAAAGGCCACAAUAAAAGGACCGAAAGGCUCCUAAAAGAGAAUUUAGUGGAAUAUGUCAUUUAACUAUUUAAAAAUAAAAUUAAAAAUUAAAAUUAAAAUAAUCCUAAAUAUAUAUUAAUUUUUUUUUUAUUUGAGGGAUAACUAUAUAAUUUUAUUGUGCAUAAAUAAUAAGAAGAUUAAUAUGAACACAUUACAUUGCCCGUAAUGUCUAAGAUAAAGGUUUUAUUGUUUACGAAAUUUUUUGGUAUUAUGUUAUUAUAAUAAACAGUGUUUAGAUUCUUGAUUUUAAUUUUUUUAAUUUAAUUUAAUUUAAUUUGUUAGACUUUCCCUUUAUUAAUAUUUAAUAUAAGUGUGCGUUUAGAUUAGUAUUAUUAAGACAAUUGAUCUUUUUAUUAUUUUUAUUCAGUUGAUUCUCUCAAUUUUACCUAAAUUAUUUUUUAAAAUAUUUUUUUCUAUUGCUUAUGUUUUUUUCAUUAAAAAAAGGCAUAUAGCACACUCGAACGUCCACCAACACAUGAUUUGCUUUGUGCAAGAAAACAGAAAUCCAUGACUGAUGGUCGGUCGGCUUGAAUAUCAUGUGCCAUCAAUGAUGAUGAUGCAUGUGCUAUUCACUGAUAAAACAUGGGGCUUUUCAAACGUUCUUUGUAUUUAGACUUGUUAUUAUUAACAAAACAAUUAAAAGAUAAAUAAAUUAAAAUAUUGUUUCGGUUUCACGAGUGAGAUGAACAGUUAAACAACUGGCUUUCUUUUUUUCAUUUUCUUUUUUAUCUUUUAUCAUACCUUUUUAUAUAGCCUAUUUAGAAAACAAUUAGGCUUGGAAUUAUAAUAAAAAUAUAAAAUUUAAAGAUAAAAAAUUAACAAGUAAAAUAUAAAUAAAAUAUAUAGCAAACCACACAAUAAAAGUCCUUCUAUUUCAUUUGUAAUUAUAAAUUCAAUUCAAUAUUAAUUUAGAUGUUUAUUUUUCACCCACUUUUGUGUAAAACGUGCUAGCCUGACUUGCCAGACCCAACAUCACUUGAUUUUUUUAAAAAAAAAAUAUUUUUUUAAUUAAUGCCCUUAUAUAUAUAUAUAUAUAUAUUCAAAAUAAUUUUUAAAUUUAUAUGUAAAUAAUGCCUCAUUUUUCUUUUAUUUUGUUUAUCUAGACUCUUUUAAAUAAAUAUUAGUUUUUAGUUAUUUUAUAUGCAUUUAAAUUUUAGAGAGAUUAUUUUAAUUCAUCUAUAUUUUUUAUAUAUUUUAUAUAAAUGAAAUUUAUUUUAAAAAAAUUUAAAUAUUUAUUUUUGGAUAAUAUUUUUAAUAUAUGUAAUCUUGUAUAAUAUUUUUUUUUAUCUUUUAUUUAUUAAUUAAUUUCAUGUGUAUCUAUUUUUAUUAUCACUUAUUUAAAUAAAAAAUUAAUUUUUGUAAACAGAGUUGUGAAUUUUUGUAAAUUAAUUUUUAUUAUCUUGGUCUAUAUGUGACUUUCAAUUUUUUAGUUUUUAUCUUUAUUUAUCAUUAAUGACUUUUUAUUUAUUUAUUUAUUAAUAUAUAUUAAUUUAUUUUAUUAGAUGUACCUAUAAGUUUUUUAAUUUUAAUUAAAAAAAAUUUAAAAACAUAUAUAUUUAUUUUUUAUAUAUAAAAAAAAAUCCUUCCCACAACAAAGUACAAGUGAAAGAGCUAUUAAAAACUAGCCAGUAUAGGUUUGAUAAAGAGGAUAUUGGGCUGGUAUAUCAUAUUAUUACUGUUAUUAAUUUUUACCACUAUAUAAUAAAAAAUAACAACAGUGCAUUAUUGUGCUCAAUUUGGGCGGGACUUGUCGCACGUGUGUGGCGGCACGGCGAUCGUCCACCCUCAAGGAAAAAUCAGAAUAAUUUAUUCCUGGCAAAUAAAAUAGGGAGAGACAAGGAAUUCUUGUCUCUACAAGUGAAAAUAUGGACUGGGAGUCGCCACCUAGUAUUCUGGUUACUAGGAACCUUAACUGGUCUUUAGAGAUCGGGUACGGAGACUAGUUGCGUAAAGGGAAGGUAUUAGCACCACAACUACGUCCUACUUAAGGUAGACUGCAUUGUUUUAAUGUCUGAUAAAAUCUAAAAUCGUGUUGUGGUUUUUUUGAAUUUUUGGUUCGUUUACGGUUUAAGAAAAGUCCUCCUCUGUAAGGAGGUCCUUAUCUUUAUCGGGUAAAAAAAGUACUAUUCGAAGUCGUCAAAAGAAAAUAUUUUUUUAAUAUCAGGAAUACGAUUUACGCAUAAAUUCAUAAUCCCUGAUACUAAAAUCAAACAAAAUAAAAUAUUUGUUGUUUUUUGAAAUUUUGGCCAAUGUUCUCUUGACUUUAAUAAACUGGUUAUUAAAGCCAAAAUGCAUGCUAAAAUAUUGUUUUUUGACAUAUGAAAAAUACGAUAUGAUUUUUUAGAUUUGAGACACUUGGCCGUAUGUACAAAAACAUUUUUUUAUCUUUUUUUCAAUUUUUUUUUAUUUUUGGAAGUUUUUGCCGAAAACCGAGUAUUUUAAUACCGGAUUUAUAUUUUUACGAUGUAAAAAUACUGCCCGAUAUCAAUCAAAAUGACAUACAAACGACGCGGAAAAAUUAUAAAAUGCCGAAACAAAUAUUUUUGAUUUUUUAUGUUGUGUGAACAGUACCGCGGGACGAAAACCGGGUAUUUUAAUACCGAAUUUAUAUUUUUACGAUGUAAAAUACAGACCGAUAUUAAGCAAAAUUGAUAAAAAAAAAAAUGUGCUAAAAAAUUGUAAAAAAACUUCUGAAAAAAAAAAUUGAAAAAAAAAAAUUGAAAUGGGCCGGGUCCGGUAACCAGCCCUCUUCAGCUGCAGAACGUGAAUUAAUUCACGUUCUGCAUGCAAACGAGGGAGGCAGCAAACGGAGAAGGCGACAGGGCGGCGAGAGAUUACCUGCGGUGACGUCGUGGCGGUGCUGCCGGCGGCGUAGGCACGGUGGCGGAGGCCGGCGGUGGUUCUCUCUCUCUCUCUUCUGUUUUUCUUCGUUUUCUUCCCUGCUGCUUCUUCUUCUUCUUCUUCUUCUCUGCCCUCUCUCUUCUCUUCUCUUCUAUCUCGGUUCGUCUCCCUCUCCCCUCUGUUCUUCCUCUCCUUCUUCGGUUCCCUUCCCCUGUUUUUAUAGGCAAAAACAGGGGAAGGCCGAAUGGUGGGGCGGCCACUAUUGGCCGCCCCUCCACUAUCUGUUCAAAAGGUGGCAAGUGGGCUGGUGUGGUAGGUGUCUUAUUGCGCAAAAAUAGGGAAAGAGGUUAGGCGAAAAGGGAGAAGAAAAAUCUUCUUCUUCCCCUGCCUCGCGUGUCCAGGGGAAGAAGAAGAGCUACAGUGCCGUCAAAACGGCACCGUUUUGGGCAUCUGUAUUUUAUUUUUUUUUUUUUUGCAACAGUGAAUGAAACGGCGCCGUUUUGGUCAAAACGCGCCGUUUCAUUUAAAAGGAAAAGGCGCCAAAAGCAUCAGAUUCAAAUUUCGGCCCUCCAUUUGCGCGCGUUUUACAAUUUAGUCCUUGGUCUCGGAUUUCUUCAAUUAAGUCCCUAAUUGGCCAUUAAACUUCAAUAUUUAUGCAAUUAAGCCCCUAAUUUGACCAAAUUAACUUCCAAAAAUUUAAAUUUGACCCCAGAAAAUUAAUUCCUCCUAAUUAAAGCCCAAAUUAACUCCAAAAUCAAUUUUUCUUGCAAUUAAAAUCUUCAUAAAUGCAAUUAAACCUUCAAUAAAAUUUAAUUGAGUCCAUAAACUUCUAAUUUUGCAUUUUUCUUCCUCAAAAUUGAAUUUUCUUUAUCAUCGGGGCUCUCAUCAGUCAAUGAUAUACUGUCAAAAAUUAAUUUUUAUACUUUUGAACAUCCUCAAUCAAUUUUUGAACAUUUUUAGAGCGCUCUGGCAUUUUUUCACUGUUAUAUUUUUUGAUAAUAUAUUUUUUUGAAUUUUUUUAUAUUUUUUUUUAUGUGGGGACCCAAAAAUGGGUUACAACAGGACUUUUCAAGAACAAUGUUGUUUUCUUUCAUUUUGGUCAUCAAUGAUGAUGUUGUUUUUGCGUAUUCUUGGAAGUUAAAUUUGAAUUUGCUUCUCUUUGUACUCAUUGUUUUAGAGACAUAAGAAUUUGAAUUUAUAGUAAAAAAAAAUUAAAAAAACAAGUACCAAAAUAACUAAUAACAAUAUUAUCUAUUGUUCGAAUGAUGCAUAAAAAUAUAAUUUCAUCCUUAAAGUUUAAUUUAUGCAUAUUUGAUCUCUAUAGUCUUAGAAUUAUAUGUUUCAAUCUUGGACUUCUUUUUUUAUUUAUUUAUUUUAGUCUUUAAGUGUAGAGAGAUGCUAGAAAAAAAAGAAAAAAAAGACAUCACUCAGUCAGUUAAAAAAAUCAAUCUUGUUAUCAAUAAAUUUGUCUUACAUAAAUAAGUUCUAUAAAGAUGGUUUAGAAUUUUUAUCCGGUUAAAGUCAAAAACACAAAUUGAGGCUUAGAAUUUUUUUUUCUUUGGUUUGAUUCUAGAUGUUUAAUAGAUUGGAGGGCAUUUUGGGGUUAAAAUGAGUUUAAAGAGGUUCUUAAUAUAUACAUGUGUGUGUGUGUGUUUUAAAGUAAAAAUAAGUUGAAAAAUAGGUUUUGAAGUUGUAGAACUCAUACUUUAAAUUCAAAUAAUCAUGAAAGGUCAAAAUUCAAACUAGAAUGUGGUGCCUAUUGUUUUUUAUUAAAAAAAAAUAUUAGAAAAAAUAAAGCAUGGAAUAAAAGAUUUUUUAUGGUAAAAUUAACCAUUACUUUGUGAAUUAUGAUAUAAGAAGGUAAUAUGCAAAGUUUUUUAAAAAAUGUUCAUAACUAUUAAAUGAGAAUAAAACUAUUUUGUUAUUUUUUAUUAUAUAAUUUUUACAUAAUUUUGAUGAUUAAUUAUUCUUUUAUGUUUUUCUUCUAUUGUGUACAAAUUAUUGAUUCAUGAUUUUUAUAUUUUUUUAAUGAAAAUUUCUUUUCAAAUCAUAAUAAAUCUUUAUUUAGAAAACAAUACUUCUAUUAAAAAACAUGUUUUCUAGAAACAAGAAAGAAAUGCAUGAAUAAUAAAAGCGAUUUUUAAUUGAAAACGAUACAUUUUUCCCUUUUUUAAUUCAAAUAAUUAAUAUUUUUAUGAAUAUUUAUUUUAAUUAUUUUUAGUUUUUAUUCAAAAACAUGCUACUAAUUAAAAAAAAAAACAUGUUCUUGUCAAACAAAAAUACAUGAAUAAAAAUUGAAAAACUCACCUAACAAAAUAUUUUUUUUCUCCACAAUUUAAAUCUUUGUGUUUUUUUUUACAAAUAUCAAUUUUAAAUACCACAAAACUAGAUGAAAAAAGAUUUUGAAAACCGCCGCAUAAGGGAAAAAAUUAGUAAAUAUAUUAAAAGAGCUAGACUUUUUAUUGUAACUCUAUAUUGUUCAAAUAGAAAUAAAACAUUGUGAAUUACUUCGUAGAAAAACAAAGCAAUCUCUAUUGUUCACCUACAAAUAAGACAAUAUUAAUUGUAUACUCUAGCCCCUAAAGCUUUUAAUUUUUUAAUUUUUGGUCCUUUUAGUUUAAAGCCCGUUAGUUUUGGUCUUUAAAUUUCAUUUUUAUAAUAUUUCAUACCCUGUAUUCUAAGAGAGGAGAGAACAACUUCUUACUGAUUCAUAUUUAUUUCACACAAAAAUCAAUCAUAGUAUUAAUAAGUUCGUCAUCUUAGAAAGAAAAUGUAAAAUGAAGGUGCCUUUUCUAUUUAACUACACCUAAAAAUAGAUCAAAACAUUUUAUUAUAGAAACAAAACACUAUUCAUUUUACACUUUUAUCAUUGUAGUUUUUAAAUUUUUUUUUCAUAUUCGAUCCAUGUAAUUUUUGUUUUGUUCAUUUUAGUUUUCAAACUUUAUUUUCAUCACAUUUUUGUUCCUGGAUUCUAAGAGAGGAGAAAGAAAAUUGUUGAAAAACAAAAAAAAAUAUAUUUUUUAGCUAGCCAUAAAAGAGACUAAUCUUGGUGUUAAAAACUUCAUUCCAAUUAUUAGGAAUUUUUAUUGAAUUUCUUUAAGUUUGUACGGAAAAAACCAUGUUGUUGAUAAAAACAAAAAUCAUGGCUAUGUCAAAUUAUUGAAAUUAUUUCAAGUAUUUAUUUUAAUAGUCAUAAAAUCAAAUAUAAGCAGGUUUUAAAAUGACCCUGCGACUUCCUGUGGAUAACAAACUAGUAAACUAAACUAAAAUUGAGAAUAAAAUUGUAUUUUAAUCACAUUGUUUUUGUCUGUUACCUUUUUUCUUCUCUUUUCAAUCAAUUUUUUGUCUUAAAAAAUAGAGAAUAAAAUUGUAUUCUAAAUAAAAUUAUUGAGACGAUAUGCCAUGCUACAAUUUUUAAAUAAAAUUAUAGCUUUUAUGGUAAUAUUAAUAAUUGUUUUAUAAAUGAUAGACAUCAAUAACUAUGAAUUAAAUUAAUUUUUUCUUAAUGAUAAUUUUUCAAACUCAUAAAAUUGUAGCUAAUGGAGUGAUUAUUGGAGAGGUUUCAAAACUUUAUACUUUUUAUUACAAAACUAAUAAAUCUAAAAAAAAUGAAUUAUUUUGUGUAAGAAUUUUUAGGCCUAUAAAAAUAGGAUUUGUGCUUCUGAUAAUUUUUUUGUAUUGGAGAUGAAAAGAAAGAAUAAAAAAUUUUAAAAGGAUAAAUAUAAUGAUAAUUUGAUUUUCAGUGUGGUAAUAAAUAGGAGCAACAUGCAUGGGAUCAUUCCUUUUAAAACCAAAAAGAAGAAUUUAUUGAAGGGGAAAUAAGAAAUAUUUUGUUAUUCCUAAGAGUGGAUUCUUUUUUUUUAAUUGUUGGCGGUCAUAUGAUUUUUUAUAUUUAGACGUGAUUUGUUAAUAGUAAUAAAUAAAGAUAAUAAGAAAUAGAAAGAAAUUGAUCACCUGGAUCGUGUAUAGAAUAAAUAGUUUAAUGGAAGUCAGAAUUUUCAAAAAUAUUUGGAACAUUUCAUUUUUAAAUAGAUGAUUUUUUUUUCAAGUGUUCACAAUUAUAUAUUAAUCAAGCUAAUCCUUUGAAUCUAGAUCAAACUUGUAACCAUGUUUUUUUCAAGUCUGGCACCAAUCAAUUCGACUACAAAGAAUAAUUUUUAUUAAAAUAUGUGCAAUUUAUUAAAAACUUUCUUUAGAUAUAAAAUUUUGAGUAUUCAAUGAACCUAAUAUGCAUAUUUUUUUAAACAAAUUGCUUAUGAAUAUUGUAUGAAAAUAAAAUAUUUUUUUCUUUAUUAAAAAUAUUUUAUAUAAUUUUAUUAAAUUAAUUAUUCUUCUAUUUUUUUCAUAUAGUCAUGUAAAAAUUACCAAAGCAUUUGUUUGUUUGUUUGUUUACUGUGUCUUGUUUUUCAAAUCUAUAGGCAACUAGAUAAGCAAAUUAAAAUCUGCAGCAACCAUCCUUUGACAAAUGUUAUGAAUUUAGGCUAUGGGGUAGGUGGGAGGGUCGGAUUUUUUUAAUAACCAAGCAUUAUAUACUUUAUCUUUCGGCCCCCACCAACGCAGGAAGCACCUCGGCUGGUUCGUUGCCAUCACAGACGUUGACUUCAAAUAUUACUAGAUACAAAGUAAAUAAUCUUACAAUACUGUGAUGCACAGCAGAUGCAAAUCAGGACUUCAUUAGGGUUUGUCUGAGCUUGUAAUAUCCAACCAUGCCUUAUUUCAACUUCACUCAAGAGAUAGGCGAACCUGACUUGGUUACCGGGGAAAUUCCGGGGAUUAAAUCUGAAGCUAGUUUUUUUCUAAGCACAUCAGCAGCAGAAGGAUUACGCUCAUCAAGAGUCGCUGACAUCACAGGUGAGAGUUCUUCUUCAGAAUCUUUCAAAUCAAAUUAUGCAAAGCUUCCUGAUUACCUUAAGUCAUGCCUAGACUACUCUGCCAUUGUUUGUGGGAGAUAUGGUGUAGAGAUAGGAAAACUAGUUCGGCUUUUGUUGGCUGAAGGUCUUAUAGAAGACAGACCAGGGGAUAUCAUGGAGGAUGUAGCAGCAAAUGUUCUCAAGGAAUUGAUUGACCUAGGAAUGCUUCAAGAAGAACGACAAGGGACUGAAGUAAAAGUCCCUGCAUCGUAUCUCCGGUUAUGUAUUCUUAAAUUGGAGAAACAAGAUUUUGUUUCUAAAACUGCAAACUCACCUGUGCGUUUAGGGAUCAGAGAUGAUGGAAGGGAUAUCUAUCCUAAAGUUGAAGGCCUUCUAAUUCAUUCUCUGUUUAUUCUCGGUGCAGACCGCCGUGCUUAUUUUGAUUCUUACCGAGGCCUUUCACGGGCCUAUAUGAGAAAUGUUUGUGGUAUGCACUUUCUGUUGGUGUUGGAUUUGGAUUGCUGGAUAGAGCGCUUACCUGAUGAAUUGGGAGACUUGAUUCACCUGAGGUACUUGGGCUUGUUUAACUCAAAUCUAGAUGAGCUUCCAGGGACUUUAGGGAAUCUUAAAAGACUGCAAACUUUGGAUAUAAGGUGGUGUGGAGGACUACGCAAACUACCAAUACAAAUUCUGCAUAUCCAGCAGUUGAGACACCUUCUAAUGUCCGACAGCAUUAAUGAUUGUGAAAUUAGAGUUCCGAAGGGCAUUGGAGCAUUGGUAAAUCUUCACACUUUGUCUGGUAUUUAUGGUGGAGAUGAUAUUGCCAUGGAAUUGAUUGCCUUAACCCAGCUACGAGAGCUAGGCGUUAAGCGUGUGACUGCCGAUCAUGCCAGUGAGCUGUUUGCAGCUAUAGAGAAGAUGGAGAACCUCACAUCCCUAUCGCUAGAAGCAGAGCGAAACUACUUUGAAGGUACUAUUUUUCCUGAAUCGGAUGCGUUUUCUCCUCCGCCACUUCUUCAAGAGUUUUUCUUAAGUGGGGGAUUAAUUGAGAUGCCCGUUUGGUUUGCCUCCAUGGAAAACCUCACCCGCCUAUCAUUAUUGUUUUCUUAUCUAUCCGAGAAUCCAACUUCAGUCCUUCAGUUUCUUCCCAAAUUGAAGCAUCUUCAACUCUGCCAUGCCUACAAGGCAAGGCACAUUGGUAAAGAAUUUUGCAAUGCAGGUGGUUUCCCUGUGCUGGAAACUCUCACAAUUGCUUCUGGGUCCCUGGCGGAAUGGACUGAAAUUGAAACCGGAGCUUUUCCACGUUUAAGAUAUCUUUGUUUUCAUAACUGUGGAAACUUGAUUUUUCUUCCUGAAGGGUUGCAGAACAUUUCCACACUUCAAGAUCUGUGUUUCUUCCCGUGGCAUCCAGACCUUAGAAGGCGAUUGAUGUCCCAAAUAUUCGGACGUCUAAGAACUGUUGAUUUUCCAACCACGAAAUGGAAAAACAUUAACCACAAUAGCUUCCAUAGGAAGUUUUUCGAGGAUGAAAUGCUUUUGCUUUACUCCUCAAAUAUCAUCUCCUGCUUUCUGUUCAUUUACUUCAAUAUUCUGGUGAAGUGUGCUAUCCUCUACUGUCUUGUAUACCUAAAUUUGUGCAAUCUCCAGCGGAGAAACCAGUGUACUAGACUCCAAAAAAUCUAUCUUGAUGAUGAACGAUGUGUUUAUCUAUUUGCAUUUCCUUAAUAUCUGGAUUAUUAUCUAAUUAUUCUAUGGAAUUGCCCUUCUUGUAGAUUUCUCUCUAAGGAUUGAAUCAUUAGAAAAUCAAGGAGACAGUUAUAUUGUUGGUUUUUUAUUCGCUUGGAAGUGGACUUGCUGGAUAAGAAACACGUCUAUUAUAUUGGCAACAGUUCAUAUAAAUUAUACAUCCCAUUCCGGGUUUACAUAGAAUCAAAGGCGCGCGUAGCAAAUAUUGUUUUUGCAUUUUAUUUUAUUCAAUUAAUUAAUUUUACCUAUAAGAAGGUAAUAUGCAAUUUUUUUAAAAAAAAAUGUUCAUAAAUAUUAAAUGAGAAUGAAACUAUUUUGUUAUUUUUUAUUGUAUAAUUUUUACAGAAUUUUGAUGAUUAAUUAUUCUUUUAUGUUUUUCUUCUGUUGUGUACAAAUUAUUGAUUCAUGAUUUUUAUAUUUUUUUUUAAUGAAAAUUGCUUUUCAAAUCAUGAUACAUCUUUAUUUAAAAAACAAUACUUCUAUUAAAAAACUUGUUUUUUUGGAAACAAUAAAGAAAUACAUAAAUAAUAAAAGCGAUUUUUAAUUGAAAAAGAUACAUUUUUACUUCAUUUAAUUCAAAUCAUUAAUAUUUUUAUGUAUAUUUAUUUUAAUUUUUUUUUAGUAUUUAUUCAAAAACAUGCUACUAAUUAAAAAAAAAACCUGUUCUUUUCAAACAAAAAUACAUGAAUAAGAAAUGAAAUACUCACCAAACAAAAUAUUUUUUUCUCCACAGUAUAACUCAUUGUAUUUUUUAUAUAUAUAAAUAUCAAUUUUAAUUACCAAAAAACUAAAUGAAAAAAGAUUUUGAAAACCGCCACACAAUGGAAAAAAUUAGUAAAUAUAUUAAAAGAGCUAAACUUUUUAUUGGAACUUUGAUAUUGUUCAAAUAGAAAUAAAACAUUGUAGAUUACACGAGAGAAAAACAAUGUAAUCUUUAUUGUUCACCUAAAAAUAAAACAAUAUUGAUUGUAUGCUCUAGUCUCUAAAGUUUUUAAUUUUUGAUCCGUUUAGUUUAAAAUGGUAGUUUUGGUCUUCAAACUUCAUUUUUAUAAUAUAUGAGUCCUUAUGUUUCGAGAGGAAAAAGAGAAAUGAAAAAGAGAAAGCCAUUAGAAAAAAAGAAAGGAGAGAGAAAGUCCUCACUUAUCCAUUUUUAUCCCACAAAAAAAAUUAAUAUUAAUGUCAAUGGGUUUAUCUUAGAAAAAAACAUCAAUGAAUGUGCUUUUAGUCUUUUUCCAAAAAGUAGAUCAAAGCAUUUUAUUAUAAUUUUGGUAUUGUUCAAGCACUGAUAUAACAUGUGAAAUCUCUAUUGUUCAUGAAACAAAACACUGUUUAUUUUACACUUUGAUUAUAGGAGUUUUCAAUUUUUUUUUCUUAUUCAAUCCAUGUAGUUGAUUUUAGUCUUUUCAUCACAUUUUUGUUGCUAGAUUCCAAGAGAGGAAAAAGAAAGUCAUGGAAAAACAAAAAAGAUUAAUAUUUUAGCUAGCCAUAAAAAAUACUUAUUUUAGUGUCAAUAAGUUAAUUUUAUUCAAAAAAAAUCAAUAAAGUUUGUAUUUUUCCUCUAACUAUGAUGGAAAAUGUAGAUUGAGGCAUGCAAAGCUUUUUUUUAGGCUUGAUUUAUGAUUUUUUUAAGUGAUUAAAUAAUAUUUUAGAAUUGUAAAUGAAAUUAUUGAGGUUCCUAAUAUAUAUUUUUAAGUAAAAAAAGUUGAGGUUUUGAUUUUAGGAGUCCAAAAAACUCAAACUCUUCUAGUACUUGGAAAUUUUACUAAUAGAUAACACGUAGUUUGUCUAAGCAAAUAAUGUGUUGUUUAUUCAUUUGACAGACUAUAUGUAUUUUGCCCUUCCAUGUAGACCCUAGACACAUAUUACCUUUAAUUGGGCCUUCACCUUUCACAUUUUUUUUUUAUAUUUUUUUAAUAAAAUUAUCUUUAAAUAAAAUUAUUUUUAAAAAUAUUUGGUUAUGCCACAGUCUUCAAAUGCGAUUAGAGUUUUGUUAGAUAAUAUUAAAACUUAUUUUAUAAAUAAUUAUGUACAAAACUCAAAUUAUUUAAUUUUUUAUACCAUCACAUAAAAAAUAAGAUAUUAAUUUUUUUUCUUAGUUGAAAGUUACAUUACAAGCCAUGAUAAGGUUUUAUAUGAAGAAACAAGCUUCUAAUACAAAAAAGCAUUGUUCAAAAAAAUAAAAAAUAAAUCAAUGAAUAACAAAAGGGAUUUGUCUAAAGAAAUAAUUUUUUUCUCCUAAAUUUAAAUCAUUUCAAUUAUUAGGAAUUUUUAUUAAAUUUCUUUAAGUUUGUAUUGAAAAAACCAUGUUGUUGAUAAAAACAAAUCAUGGCAAUUUCAAAUUAUUGAAAUUAUUUCAAGCAUUUAUUUUAAUAGUCAUAAAAUAAAAUAAAAUAAAAUAAAAGCAGGUUUUAAAAUGACCUUUCAACAUCUUCUGGAUAAAAAACUAGUAAAAUAAACUAAAAAGUUUUUGUAGAUCUUAGUUGUUCCCUAGACAUAAGACAACCGUGAAUUGCACUAUAGGAUAGCGAUGUAUUUUUUUUUAUAUUGUUCCACAGGAACAAAAAAAUUUAUUUUGGUACCUAAAUUUUUGAAGUUUUACAUAUUUUGUUUGGUAAUACAUUUUUACAUACUUUAUGUGCACUCGGGCUGGAUGUUUUUUGCCUGUCACCUUUUUUCUUCUCUUUUCAAUCAAUUUUUUGUCUUAAAAAAACAGAAUAAAAUUAUAUUCUAAAUAAAAUUAUUGAGAUGAUAUUAAAACCAUUAUCAUGCUGUGAUAUAAUUUUUAAAUAAAAUUAUAGCUUUUAUAGUAAUAUUAAUAAUUAUUUUAUAAAUGAUAGACAUCAACAACUACGAAUUAAAUUAAUUUGGUCUUAACAGUAAUUUUUUAAACUCAUAAAAAUCGUAGCUAAUGGAGUGAUUGUUGGGGAGGUUUAUACUUUUCAUUACAAAACUAAUAAAUCUACAAAGUGAAUUAUUUUGUGUAAGAAUUUUUAGGUCUAUAAAAAUGGGAUUUGUGCUUGUGAUAAUUAUCUAGUAUUGGAGAUGAAAAGAAAGAACCAAAAUUUUAAAGAAAUAAAUAUAAUGAUAAUUUGAUUUCCAGUGUGGUAAUAAAUAGGAGCAACAUGGGAUCAUUCCUUUCAAAACCAGAAAGAAAAAUUUAUUGAAGGGGAAAUAAGAAAUAUUUUGUUAUUCCUAAGAGGGCAUUCUUUCUUUUUAAUUGUUGGUGUUCCUAUGAUUUCUUAUAUUUAGAUGUGAUUUGUUAAUCAUAAUAAAUAAAAAUAAUAAGAAAUAUAAAGAAAUUCAUGUCUGUAUCGUAUAUCAGCAUCCAAUUAUAAAAAAAAAAUGAAAAAAGAAAAGGUUCCAUCACAACUCAUAUAGAUACAAAUAGUGGAUUACAAAAGAAAAGGUUCCAUCACAACUCAUAUAGAUACAAAUAGUGGAUCACAACUCAUCCUUAAAAGGCGAUUGAUGGGUGAAGAGAAUUACAAAAUCAAGCAUGUCCCACAUAUUUGGAUGGUUUGAGAAUCGUUGAUUUUCCAACCAAGAAAUGGAAAAACAUUAACCACAAUAGUUUCCACAGGAAGUCUUUCAAGGAUGAAAUGCUUUUGCUUUACUCCUCAAAUAUCAUCUCCUGCUUUCUGUUCAUUAACUUCAAUAUUCUGGUGAAGUAUGCUAUCCUCUACUGUCUUGUAUACCUAAAUUUGUGCAAUCUCCAGCGGAGAAACCAGUGUACUAGACUUCAAAAAAUCCAUCUUAAUGAUGAACGAUGUGUUUAUCUAUUUGCAUUUCCUUAAUAUCUGGAUUAUUAUCUAAUUAUUCUAUAGAAUUGCCCUUCUUGUAGAUUUCUUAAGGAUUGAAUCAUUAGAAAAUCAAGGAGACAGAUCUGUCUUUCGGGUUACCAGUGAAAAUUUAUUCUUGUUUUUUUCGUUUGGAAGUGGACUUGCUAGAUAAGAAACACGUCUAUUAUAUUGGUAACAGUUCAUAUAAAUUAUACAUCCCAUUCCGUGUUUACAUAGAAUCAAAGGCGUAGCAGAUAUUGUGUCUACAUCGCAUUAAAAUUUGAAUAAACCAUCGGAUGUACGAGUAUGAACUACCCUGUAUCCCUAGUUAGCCUAGAUCCUACGGUGUCCUCUUAAUGUUCUCUAAUACAGGCGUGAUAAUUAAGAACAUUUUAUUUGAUGAUAGAGCUUUCUUCUCGUCCCAUGUAUCAAGUCACUACAUUUCCAUUGGUAUUGUCGAUGAUUGCUGAUAACCUCUCCAAGAAAAGGUUAAAGGCUUCUGGUGGACUAAACAUGCUUAUUCUGACAUACUUUGGACUAGCCCCAAACCGCUCCCCACUUCUUGCUAUUAUCUUAUGCUCUCUUAAACGUCUCUCCCAGUCUAUAUCCUCCUUGCUGUGCAACCAUGCAAAAGCUGUUUGCAGAAAAGCAAAAUAUGUUAGAAGAGCUUUUCAAAUGAGCCUGCAAUAAAGUUGGGGUGUCCUAUUUCAAAAGUAACAAAAAUAAUAUUGAUCUAAUUAUGAGCAUUACCAGGAUUUGAAUCCAUGUACUUUCCAGUGAAGUUGCAGUAAUCUCGUGGGUACUUUGGCAGACUGAAGACUCUGCUGUUCUUGACAACAUUUCGCAAUCUCUCCCACCUUUCUUUCAGAAUGCUAUGGCUAUACUCAAAGAAGUUCUCUGAAUCAGCAGUCCUACAACCUUCGCCAAGCACUCCAAGAAUCUUCGCAGCUCGAAUCUGAGAUUCUUUUGAUACACCGAUGGAACUGAUCUGCAUGUAUUCAGUCAUCUUUCUAGCUACCUCUUUAUCCUUAACAAGUGCCCAGCUUCAAUUUGGAAACAAAAUAAUUAGCAGAAAGGAACAAGAAUGAACUACAAAUUAAACACAGGCAAGGCAGAAUGAUAUAUUUUUGCGAUCUUCUUAUUCGAACAACAAGUCAUGCAUUGCGACAUUAAUCUCUUUAACUAAAGAAUGUCCUGCUCACCCAAUCCUGGAACCAGCAUGUCCGGUGCAUUUGGAAAAUGUGAACAGCAUAAUAUCAUGAUCCAAGGGAUGAGUGAUAGGCGUGUAUUGUGGCCAGUAGUAGGCAAGGUCAUAGACAAGCUUCCCUUCCCCACGGUUCACCACAGCUUCUCGGACAGCACCGUCAGGAUUAUUCGGCGAGGUUACGACCUCAAUAUAAGGUCCAUCCUUAUCAAAGGUGUGCGCAUCUCCCUCCCAUUUAUAGAGUCCUGAACGCAGGAAUUCUGCCUGAUCUUUAUAUCCCUGCACAUAAAUGAAUUAAUCUUCCACGACGAAUGAAGGGCGCCGGAGAAUUGACCUGUCCUCUUUUUUUCUUUUUUCUUUUCACCAUAGACGCACCAUGAGGUAAGAAACCGAUACAUGUCUUGAAUUAGUAUUUUGUCAGUCAAGUAACAUGAACAGGAAAUUAAGAAAACUUGCAAUCACAUUAUUGAUUAAUUAAUCACAUAUGCGUAAAUGAAUGCAUGUGAAUAAGCAUGCAAGCAGUCAAGCAUUUGCAACUCUGUUGAUGCCCAAUUGCAUAUGAUAUAAUUAAAUAAACUCAAGAACUUAGUGUUAUAUAUAAUAUUAAGCAAGUGCAUGAGGUUCUGCAGCAAAGUUUGUGGAAAAUGUGGGUAACAUGCAAAGUUGUCUGCUCCAAGGACCGCAACAAGGGAGAUGGAUUUGCUAUUUUCUAAGAUGAAACAUCUUUGUUCCUGCUCGCGUAGCAAACGCCAGGCGCAAGUUCUCCCAAGUUUUGACACAAACGAGACAUGGUCAUGUUACCUAAAUCUUAGUUUCUCUUUAAGAAACAUGUUUGUCGCCAUGUCUUUUGUUACAAACAGCACUCCUUUUUAUUUAUCGAUUAAUGAGUUAUUUUAUUUGUAAGAAAUACCAUUAACGUGAUGUUUUUAUUAAAUUAAGCUCUUUCUUUUUCAGAAAUAAUCUUAAUGAUCUCGUACGUACGACUUUUUCACUCAUGGCUGCCGGCCAAGCUUAAUUUCCUUAACCAGGCAAAGAUGGUUCUCUAAAUAAAUAAAUACAUGAGAAAUUAAAAAAGUAAACUAAAUUUAAGCAGUUCUGUUUUAUGCAAGACAAAUAAACAAAAAAAGAAGAUUAUAUUAGAUACUCUUGUUGGUUUGACUUUGACUUAUCAAAACUGUCUUGGCUGGUUUCAGAUCUCCUAGGUAUACAUCCUUGCGCCUCAUCAUGUCAAAAAACAAAAAUUAGAACGUUGAUUUUGAAAUUUAUAAUUUGAAUUUUCUCAAAUAAAAAAAUAACUAUUAAUUUUAAAAAUAAAAAAAGUUCUGCCCACCAAGUAAAAUAAAUCUCAAAUAUUGUGAUUUAGAUUAAUAUAUAGAUUUUCUUAAUAUAACGGAUCAUGCUAUCUCUAACUUAAAAGGAGAGCUCAUUCCAAUCGUUUGAAGAUCGCCAUUGAGUUCCAUGAGUAGGUUAUUAAGCCAGUAUUGAGUCUGGUUUUACACCGUCAGAUCAAGUGAAAGCAUGUAAAGACUUGCACCAAAUUAUGUAAACUGAAAGAAGUUUGAUGAGGAAGGGAGCGGUGGCUACCGAGUAAAAAGGAGCGGCAGCUACAAGACUGACGGGGUGGCGAUCAGCCGGAGAAGAGAGAGCAUACAGAGCAGCCAUUAAGAGCUGUGUUGAUCCUGUCCCAACCACGAUGUGGCGAUCCUCUGUUACUGCGUUUCCAACAACACGAUGCAGUCGCUUUAUGGCAUCACCAAGUUGUGGCUGCAAAAACCAGCAAAUGUUGCUAAUAUCACUGAAAUAGCUCAUCAAAUCACACCCUUCAAUCACCAACGUACACUUGUCUCCCAUUUUCCUCCAGUAUUGCUCGAACAACGUUGGAUCUCCCCUGCAUUUCCGCAUAACACAUCACUUCCUCGUACGUUAAGAAAAACUCUAUCCCAGAUAACAACACUACGUGAUAAUUAUACCAAACUAAAACUGUUAAACCGUAAAUGACUAUAGCCAGGCCAUUGCACCGGCGCAAUGUAGCCACAACGAGGUGGUGUAUGCUUUUAAUUUCCGAUAGAAAACAAAAGAAUUUAAUAAACGUGAACUUACUGAUCUAGAUUGAUCAUGGAAUCCGGUGAGAGACUUGUCUUUGUGGGCUUAGUUGUCGUCGGAGAAGAGUUUUGGUUAUUGGUUGCUCCAUUCUCUAAACCGCCCAUUUUUCUCUUCUCUUUUCUUCUGUUCUUUUGGUUUCCUCAACUACAGUCAGUGCUCGUGGUUUCUCGUAUACGUGCUUUGAUGGGCUAUGCAAAUACCUGUAUUUAUACUAAAUUAAUGAUGCGUCAGAAACUCUUUUUUUUUUUUUUUCAAUUCUGUAUAUGAGAGUACAUGUUAUAUUAUACGUGGGGGUGUUUUUAUUCUUGCUUUGCUUUGGUUUUUUAUUUUUAUUAUGUUACCAAGCAUCUAGACUUUUGUAGUUAUAUUAUUCUAUAUUUUCUCAAGAAAAGUUGCAAGAUUAUCUGUCAAAUGCAAUUUUGCUUGUUUCCAUUCCAUAAUUAUUCCUAACCCAUAUUAACAUAUUAUCAUUGAUGGAAAGAUACAAUGAAUUCAAAACAUCAUGGGUUGUCUUAAAAAAUUUUUGUUAUCAAAAAUAAUUUUUAAAAAAUAAAAAAAUAUUAUUUUAAUUUAUUUAUAAGUAAAAAGCAUUUUGAUAGCAAAUACAACUAUAUUAUUAAACAGACCCUAAAUUUUGAUGAUAACAUUUUAGAAUUUAUUAGUUUUUUUUUAACAUACUAAACCGAUAUAAGAGGUGUAUUUUUAAUUUAUUUAGAAAAAAAAAUCAAUCUCAAUACCCUUAUUGUUAAAAAAAAAACUAACAUGCAAUGUACAUAUAUAACGUUGCUCACGGGAUCCAAAACCUGUCAAAACAGAAUCUGAUCACACACAUAUAUAAAAUACACAUAGCAUAAAUCAUGAGAGAUAUUGUAGAAAAUGAAGUUCUUAAAUGAGAAAUAAAUGAGAAACCGGCAAUAUAUCAACCAAUGAAUUAAGAGUGUAUUUAAGAAUGUGAUCGAAUCUUGCUUCUAAUUAAGGGUUUUAAAAUUUUUAUAUUUUUUGAUUAUUUUGAUGUGCUGAUAUAAAAAAUAAAUUUUAAAAAUUCAUUUUAAAAAAUUUAAUUUUUUUAAAAUUUAUUUUAGAAAAACUCAAUUUCCAAUCAAUUUAAUAUUGAAGGAUAAAAUCAUAAAAAAAUCAAUUUAGAAAAUUAGCCAAGGAAAAUUCAAGAAAGAAGGAGAAAAAAAACUCGAUAACCAGAGAUAUUUUUAAAAUCAGUGAAAAAUUCAACAAAAAAAUAAAUAAAAAUAAUAGAACCUAGUAUCCAGUUGAAUAAAUGAUGAAGGAUAUAGAAACAAAAAAAAAAUCAAGUAAACCUAGACGAACCUUCUAUAUUUGAGUUAAUCUCUAAACUCAUAACCCUUAAAAUCCUAGAUCUGGACUCAAUAUAAAAGCUAAAUCCCUGACCAAUUUAAUAUUGAAGGGUGAAUUCAAAAGAAACUUGGACAUUUAUUACUUGGACCAUAUUCGUGAUUUAUUUCCAUACUCGAACAAAUAAGAAUUUGGAAGGUUUAAAUUCUGCAAUUGUCACUUGUAUCAGUUUUCUUAAAUUGAAAAAAAAAAUAACAGUUUAAAAAACUUGUCAAAGUAAAAAAACAAUAACAGUCAAAAGAAUUAGAAUCAAAUUUUAUAGGAAAAAGAGUUAAGGAAGAUGACAUUGUAAAAAAAUUAAUUUAAAAAACCAUUUCAAACAAACCAAAUAGAAAUCAAAAGAAUAAAAAUCAAAUUCAAAAGAUUUAAAAAGUAAAAGGGGAUGAAAUUAAAAAAUAAUUCUGAUUUUAUAAAUUAUUCAAAAAAAUUAUUACAAUAUUGAAGAAUGAAAUAAAAAAAUAAUAAUUUUAAAACUCACCCAGAGAAAAUUCAACAAAGAACAAAAAAAAAAACUUGAGACAAGUUGAGUCAUUUAAAAAAUAAGUGAAAAACUCUAUAGAAAGCUAAUAAAUAAAAAUAAUAGAGCUUAGUUUCCAAUUGAAUAAUUAUUAAAUGAUAAAAUUGAAAAAAUAUAAGUUUAAAAAAAUAAUAAAAAAACAAGUAAACAUGAGUGAACCACUUAAAGUCAAGCUAAUAUCUAAAACUUCCCAAACACAAUCAAGAAACUUAAUUCAUAACUAAUUUAAUGUUGAAGAAAGAAAUAAAAAAAAUAUAAAUUUAAAAACUUUGCCAAAGUAAGAAAAAUAGCAAUCAAAAGAAUGAAAAUCAAAUUUGAUAGGAAAAUAAACUUAGGGAGAAUGAAAUAUUAAAAAACAAAAUAUUAAAAAUAAUCUCAAACAAAAUAAAUAGCAAUUAAUAAAAUAAAGAUUAAAUUUGAAAGAUAAAAAAAGUGGAAGAGGGGGGUGAGACUGAAAAAGGAAUUCUAAUUUUUAUUAUUAUUCAAAAAAAAAAAUUAAAAAGACAGUAACCAAAUGUUAAGAGAAAAAAUUAAAGGGAUUGGUUUGAAAAUUUGAACAGUUUGACUCAAAAUUUGAGGUGGAGAGAGAAGGAGGAAAAACAAGAAAUGGUUGUGAAUAUCAAAUAAGAAGUGUGUUUAAUGCAUGUGUCAUCCCGUUGAUGUGAGGAUGCGAAGACCUUUUUAAAGAGUCAUUAAAUAUCGUGUUUGGUGACCAGACAAAUUGGCAAGCACCACUUGUAGGGUAUUGGGGUCGUCCACCUGCUUGUGCGUGCCGUACACGUUCUUAGAAGUUUUUUAAAAAAUAAUAUUUAAUAAUACUCAUAUAUAAAAAUGCCGUGAUUCUCCUUGAUAUUAAAAAAAAAAGCCUUAAUAAAAGGACCAAAAGGCUCCUAAAAGAGAGUUCACUAGAAUAUGUCAUUUAACUAAUUAAAAAAAAAAAAAAAACUAAAAUGACUCUAAAUAUAUAUUAAAAUAUUUUUUUUAAAAAAAAAGCCACAAUAAAAGGACCAAAAGGCUCCUAAAAGAGAGUUAAGUGGAAUAUGUCAUUUAACUAAUUUUUAAAAAAUAAAAAAAAGACUAAAAUGACUCUAAAUAUAUAUUAAAAUAUUUUUUUUUAAAAGCCACAAUAAAAGGACUAAAAGGCUCCUAAACGAGAGUUCAGUUGAAUAUGUCAUUUAACUAAUUUUUUUUUUUUUAAAAAAAAGACUAAAAUGACACUAAAUAUAUAUUAAAAUAUUAAAAAAAAGCCACAAUAAAAGGACCAAAAGGUUCCUAAAAGAGAGUUCAGUGGAAUAUGUUAUUUAACUAAUUUAAAAAAAAUAAAAAAGACUAAAAUGACUCUAAAUAUAUAUUAAAAUAUUUUUAUUUAUUUGAGGGAUAACUAUAUAAUUUUAUUGUGCACAAAUAAUAAGAAGAUUAAUACGCCCUUGCAUAAUUAAAAAUAAACAAUUGUACCAUGGUGAAAACAUUACAUUGCCCCUAAUGUCUAAGAUAAAGGUUUUAUUGUUUAAGAAAUUUUUUGGUAUUAUAUUAUUAUAAUAAACAGUGUUUAGAUUCUUGAUUUUAAUUUUUUAAAUUUAAUUUGUUAGACUUUCCCUUUAUUAAUAUUUAAUAUAAGUGUGCGUUUAGAUUAGUAUUAUUAAGACAAUUGAUCUUUUUAUUAUUUUCAUGCAGUUGAUUCUCUCAAUUUUUCCUAAAUUAUUUUUUAAAAUAUGUUUUUCUAUUGCGUAUGUUUUUUUCAUUAGAAAAAGUCCACCAACACAUGCUUUGCUUUGUGCAAGAAAACAGAAAUCCAUGACUGAUGGUCGGUCGGCUUGAAUAUCAUGUGCCAUCAAUGAUGAUGAUGCAUGUGCUAUUCAAUGAUAAAACAUGGGGCUUUUCAAACUUUCUUUGUAUUUAGACUUGUUAUUGUUAACAAAACAAUUAAAAAAUAAAUAAAUAAAAAUAUUGUUUCGGUCUCACGAGCGAGAUGAACAGUUAAACAACUGGCUUUCUUUUUUUCAUUUUCAUUUUUUUCUUUUAUCAUACCUUUUUAUAUAGCCUAUUUAAAAAACAAUUAGGCUUGGAAUUAUAAUAAAAAUAUAAAAUUUAAAGAUAAAAGAUUAACAAGUAAAAUAUAAAUAAAAUAUAUAGCUAACCACACAAUAGAAAAGUUCUUCUAUUUCAUUUGUAAUUAUAAAUUCAAUUCAAUAUUGAUUUAGGUUGCGUUUAUUUUUCACCGGCUUUUGUGUUCGUAGUGAAACAAAUAUAGUAAGAUAUUUGAUAACAAAUUAAAUUGUGUUUUGUAAUGCGAGGUUCACUAAAAAAUUGAGUUUGAAACGUAGUAUUUAUGAAGUAGUUUUUACAUGUUUUUUUAACCGAGUUUCAUAAAACCCCGUUUAUUUUUACGUUUCAAAAGCGCUUUUAAAAAAAUUAAAAAAAAUUUUCUUUGCUUCAAAUUGAUAUAUUUUUGGUGUUUUCAGAUCAUUUGGAUGCAUUGAUAUCAAAAAUAAUUUUUUAAAAAUAAAAAAUUAAUUAUUUUGAUGCAUUUCCAAAUAAAAAGCACUUUGAAAAAUAAUUGUAAUCACACUUUUAUCAAGCAUUUUAUACAUGUUUUUUACUACACAAAAACUUCAACCAUAAUUUUUAUCAAACACGUAUCUAAAUCUAUCUAACCACAGCUAAUUGUAUUUUUUUUAAACCAUAAUUAUAAAAGCUACCUAAAAAACAAAUACUAGAAUGUGUUUGUUUUUGGUAGAAUGUAAAACAAACAGUAAAAGUGAAAAAAGAAAAACAUUUUCUUUUUUUAUUUGAUGACAAACGGUAUCUUUAAGUUAGGUUACAUGUAAAUUAAAACUAAGUCUAUUCUUGAACAAUUUAAAAAAUUGAUGUAUUAUUUCUUUUUAAAUAAAUUUUUCUUAGUGUUGAUUUUAAGUUUUGAGUUUAGGAACCACAUAAAUGGAGCAAGCUUCUUAACCACUAAGUACAUUUCUUGCAAUUAUUAUUUUCAUAACUACGUGAACAUUAUAAAAUCGUAUAAAAUUAAUUUUAACAAUACUAAAAUACAAAUCAGAGAUAUGAAAUUGAAUUAUAUUUUAGUAUUAAAAUGUCAGUGGCUAGUAUGUAAUUACACUUCACCACGGGUUGAAUAAUUGUUUUUUGAAAAAUAAAUAAAUAUUCAAGCUUUUCAAAUGUGUUUUUUCUUAAUUCUAAUUAUAAAUAAAAAUAUCUAUGCAUGCAUUUAAUUAAAUACAUCAAGAACCAUCUGUGCUAAUAAAUACAACAAAACAAAGUAUUAGCGUGUCUAUUCAACUCGCCUCGCUAUAAGUUGAAUAUUUUUUUUUCUAACACAAAAUAAUUGAUGUGUAGGUGUUAUUAGUAUAUAUUUUUAUAUCAGGUAAAAACUAUAACUAUAAACCAAAAGGUUGAUGUAUAUAUAUAAUAAAAUAUAGUUAAGAUUUUAUACGUUAAUAAAAAAAUAUAAGAUCUCAAGUUAAUUUUUAAUAUCACAGAAAAAUAGAACAAUGUUGCAAUUACUAUAAUAAAACAUUAUUUUCUUAAUUUUUGUAUACUAAUUUUUCAAAAAACUAAGUGUAAAGAUCAUUAAUUAAUACCCCAAUCUGUUCAAAAUGAUAUCAAAAACUUAUUAAAUUUCCAAAUAUAUCGAUGUUAUUCAUCCUAGUAUCCUUAAGCUCUCCAUAAUCCCAGUAAUAUUGAUACCAAUAUACCCCCAUUGAUAUCAUUAGCCUUUUCAUAACUUGAAAUGGUUAAUCAAACUAUAGUUAAAUGAAAAGGUAGAAAAAAGAAAAACUAAAAAAAUAUUAUAAAAAAAUGAAGAUAAGGAAAAAAAAAUUGUGAUAAAUAGGCUAAAUAUAGAAACAAUAGAUAUAAGAAAAGUUGUUUUCUAAAAAUCCCUUAAAAUUACAACUUUUCCACCGCUGUAGAAAAAAAUAGCAAAAUUUACAAUUAUUCUAUUUCUACAGGAAACAAACCAUUUUGUUAAAGAAUUAAUGUGUAGGUGUUAUUAAUAUAUUUUUUUUAACAUUAAAUAAACAAAUAAUCAUGAAUCAAAAAGUCGAAACUUAUAUAUAAUAAAAUAUAUUAAAGAUCAUAUACGUUAAUAAAAAAAUAGAAAAACUAAAGUUAUUUUUUUUAAUGUAAGAGAUGAAUGGAACAAUGUUACAAUUGAUACAAUAAAAUAUUGUUUUCUUGGUCUUUGUAUACUAAUUUUUCAAAAACAAAAGUGUAAAGAAUUUUUUUUAAAAAAUACAAAAGAAUAAAGAUAAGAACAAAAAUAAUUAUAUAAAUAGACUAAGUGCAGAGUGAUAAAUAUUCAAAGCUUAAAAAAUAAAAAAAUAAUAUUUUUUCCAAAAACAAAUUGUAAAGAAAAAAAGGAAAAUCUAAAAAGAUAUUACAGAAAAAUGGAGAUAAGAAAACAAUGGUGAUAAAUAGACCAAGUGAAAAAUAAUAAAAAUAUCAAAUAUAAAACAAAAAAAUAUAUAUAAAAAACUUGUUUUCUAAAAAAACAUAAAAAUUAUAAUUUUUUCAUCGCUACAGUACUACUAUAGUAAAAACAAUUAGCAAAAUGUAUAAUUAUGUCUUUUCUACUGGAGAACACCAUAUGUAUAAUGUUUUAUGAAAUCUCUUAGAAAUAGUAAUUGUUAAGAAAUUUUACUAAUUUAUUUAUAAGUAAUUAAAACUCGAAAUCAUAUUUUUGGCAUCAUGAUAUUGUAAGAAAGCUCAACCGCUUUCUUUAACAAAUAAAAUAAUUUAAUUCCUUAUUAUAAAUAUUAUAUUUACAUUUUAAUUUUAAAUUUUAAGUUAAUUUUAUUGUAUGAUUUAUCAAAUAUUAAAAUUUGAUAUUCUGAAUCGUUUUAAUCAUUAAAAAAUAAAUUUGAUAUGGUGGAAGUAACAUAGAUGACCAUAUGACUAUAUCACCGGUAAAUAUUAUAAGUAUAUUAUUAAAAAAAUAUAUCACAGUAAAGAAGGAAUAAUGAGUUAUAAGUUGAUGUCAUGAAAAAACACCAUUAUUAUUUAAUAAAAAUAAAAAAUACAACAUCAUCACUCCCUAUAACGUUUUUAAUUAUUUUGUUAGUUUUUUAUAUUAUUCUUUUUUUAUUUGUGGCCGUCAUGGUUUUGGAUGGUUGCGUGGGUCAGCACGUGCUUUUGGGGUCAGGAUGACCUGAGUUUGGAUGGAUGGACUCCGUUCAUCAUCUAAUUUGCGGCGAAAGGUGUCUCUCCUUUUGUUUGUUUGUUUGUUUGUUUUUUUUAAUGAGAGUUUUAUUCAACUUUUCAAAUUAAUUUUUUUAAAAUAUAUUUAGAUCCAAUGGCUACAUUCGAUUCUCAGAGAAUGUGGGAUGGAAUUCACAUAAAAAUCAUUUUUGUAAAUGGAUUUACUGAUAAUACAUUCCUGAUACAACCAAAAAAGCCAGAUAUAUAUAUCGCUCAACGAGCUUUAACAUUGCUGAAGAUGGCAACUCCUUGCAGAAACGUGCAUUUACAGAGACAAGAGAGGGAGGGAGGCAAAGAAUUGUCCUAUGAUAGGUUUUGUUUCCUAGUUGUGUAGAGUAACAGACAACGAACUACUGCUGGAUUUCGUAUGGUAAAGUUUGCUGACUCUUCCUGAAGACGUGUUUUCUACAACGCUCGAAAAUACUGUCAUAUAUCAUAUCAAAUUGAACUCCUGCUCUAUCCCUAUUCACAAUGAACAAUAUGUGAUCGCCUUCAACAAUCUUGUAGUACCUGCAUUAAACCUCCAUGUUAGCUCACGAAGGGGCAAGAAUGAUGCUGAUGAGAAUUCAACUUCUUAAUAGAACUACAAGGCGACUCAACUUAUGACUUCAAUUCAAUUGAUUUCAGAUAUCUAGUAAUUACUACUAUUCAAAUGCUUUUAUGAAAGUUCCCCAAUUAACUGCGUGUAAGCUGCCUUUAAUAAAAUAUCUGUUUUUUUCUUUUCUUGAAACAAGCAGCAAAAAGUUGAAGGGAAUUGCUCUGUAAACAUGCAAAGAACAAGAAGGCAAUGGCUCUCAAAGGAGAAUAAUGAGCUUAAAGUUUCAUGCCUUCAAGGUUCUUUAAUAACCGAGCAUAUUUUACGAGUCUCUGAUGGCCUCCUUCAGCCAUUUUUCAUCUAAACACCCUUGCAGUUUUUGUUUUUGCAGGUCAGAAAUGGACAUGACAAUCAAUUGUCAUCAUUCAAAGCUACUACCAAAAUAACUGUGCUAGAAACUGAGGCUAGUACAUGGCCCAUCCAACUAUCCAAGACAAACAUUGGAAGGAUUAUAUCUAAACCGAUUAUCACUUGCAGAGGUUGACACACCAAGUAAUUUGUAAUAAGAUGGCUUGGUUGUUCCUAAAAGGUAGCAUUUGUUGUGUGUUUUUAUAGAAGACUAUGGAAAAAAUGCCUGGCAUUAUUAAACACAAUUAAAAUUUGUCCUCAAAGCAUGUGGCUGACUAUGUUGGAAGAGGAGGCUCUAUCAAAGACAGAGAGGUUGAAAGUGUUAUAACUAACCAUAUUCCCGGUUGCAAGGGUUGACACUCCGAAUCAUGUCCAACAAAUUUGCUUGGGUGUUCGACUGGAAUGUGAGGGUGGGUCAUAGAUAUGGUGUUGAGUGCUCCAUCAUUGUCCUGCCAAUCCUCAUCCCUGUUCACACAUUCACUCAGGGUAUAAGCAAUCAUACAAAUUAAUUAUGCUUCAAUAGAGGUUUCAUUACGGUUGAAAAUCAGUACAAUGUUCCUUGUACUGAAUUCUGGAUGGAAUCCAAACAUAUCACAGAGGACAAUUGAGAUUUUGGAAUUCUACAAUCUAAAGACUUAAUUGAAAUAGCCUUCACUAGCUAAAUAAUGUUACAGGUAAAAUUUAAUUAACUAAAAAUAUUUCUCAUUGAUGAUAUGAAAAUCUGAAAAAUGAAGUCAAAGUCAUUAAAAUGACCAUAAUAUGAAAACAUUAAGCAAUUAUAGGAAAGCGUUUGCAUUAUCCUAUUCUAAAUCAGCUCAACUGCACAUGAUAUGUUGAUAAAAGAACACACCUGUAUCCCUUAUAUGGGGGAGAGACAUCGGGAGGAUGACGCCACUGGCUCAUCUGCAACACUCUUAUAAAAAGCAAUGGGUGGAUUCCAAAGAUGCUUGAAGGAACAUUGAUACCGCAGAUUCUCCUAGUACGUUUGGUAGCAUAACUGAAAUAAUAUGUAUCAGGAAAGGUUUGUAGAUGGCAGUUUAGUUGCAUAGACCCUUGAAUUGUAAGAUCAGGAAGUAUCCAAUCUCCAGAAGCAAAGGGUCCUGCAUUCCCCAACAGGCAGUGAAUAAGACCAAAAAUCCCAAUUUUUUUCCAGGACAUGUUGAAGUGAUCAAAUCCAAAAUUGUAGUAAGCCUUCAGCCAAGGAAUGUCAAGCCAGUCAUAAAUUAUUGUUCCUAUGCGACAGAACUGAAGCAGACAUAUUGGUUUCAUGUUUCUCCAAUCUUCUGGCCUGGAUAUUGAAAAUGCAGUUCCAAAUUUAGAUGCAAAUAUACAGAGUUCUAUUCCAGAGUAACUAAUAAUGAAAAAGGAGAGUUAACUAAAUACAAAGCAGCAUUUUGCUAAAAAAAAAGGAAAGAAAAAUCUUUAAACAAGGAAGUGAAUAUCAGUAUUUGAUUAUUUUCAUACCGACUGCCAAAGACAAAACUUGAAGAUAAAUUUCAAAUUAAGAUCAUUAUUGAGUCUGAUAUCUAGAUGCAAUUUAUAGAGUGAAGUUUCAAAUAGCAGAACAAGUUUGGAAAGAACACUCACUGCAUCCCAUCUAAGUAGGUCCUUGUAGUCCCAUUGAUUGCUCCAGAGAGGGAAGUGAUACUUAACACCCAUUUAUCAGAAGUGCUCUCAUACCCAUUAAAUGCCUACAGAAUCAUCACGAACAAGCAUUCAAUCUAAACAUGAAAUUUUAAGAGAUUAUUUGCUGACUUUUUAAACAAUAAACUAGACUAACCUUAUCAGCAAGCAUUUGCUGCAACACCCGAACAACCUGCGCUCCAGCAGAAUGCCCAACAAAGUGAAUAGGGUGAUCCUCAUCCCAUUCAGGAUAAUGCCCUACAUUCCAACCACAACAAACAAGGACAUUUCAAACUUAAACACAGAUAAUAACCAAAUAGAAAAAACAAAAAUAGAGAUAUGGCUCAAAAAUCCGAACUUUAAAAAUAAAAACAGAAGGGAAGAUCUUCUGACCUUGUUCAUAAGUCCGUCCAAAUUGCGAGUGUCCAUAAGCCUUGCUGUGUUCUUCUCCAUAAUCAACUUGCCCACCUUUCAAAUAAUAAAAUAACUCGCGUGCCCUGAAACCCAGAAAGAAGAACUCAAAUUCAAACCAAAUCAAAGAGAUUAUAUUGCCAAAAUGAAACCUUUAACAACCCCUAAAUCACAAGCAUUUGGUAACUAAUUACCUAUCAUAUAUGCUAGUUAGAGACCCCAAAUCGGGCACCAGGACCCUCUCAUCUUUCUCCUCUGCUCCUGCAAAGUACGAUAAACCUCCCAAUUUCUGGAACCAAAUAGAACAUCAAAACAAGAACGAGAUUGAUUUUGAGGCACAAAAUGCAGUUUAAAAUCCAUUUAAGGUAUUAUGACAGUAAAAGAAAAGAGGAAACACGUUACCCCUUUGCCAAAUCCAAAGAUUCCAUGAACCAACACAAUAGGAGGCAAGUCAUCAACGCUGGUUUCUGUUGCUGUUGUUGUUAAUAUCUCUUUGGUCUCCUCCUCUUUAACAACAGCAUUCACAUUAGCCUUGAAAAACCAUUCAUUCAUUACCUGUGAAAGAUCACCAGCCAAAGCUGUGCUAAAUAUGUAAAGCCCAUAUAGCAAAUGCACUACCGUGCUUACAAACAGCUCUGUUAACUGCAGAGCAGAUGUCCACCACCUUAUCAUUUGUCUUCCUUUCCAGCCUACAAAAAUGAAGAAAAAUAAUUCAAAGCAGAAAGAGCCUUCUUCAAAGGAGUAAAAAACACCCUCCACACACACACACAAAAGAAGGCCCCUCCUCCUCCUCCUCUUUCAAUAUCAAAACUCUCUCAUCAAACCCUUCUAUGAUUCAUAAAAAAACCAUUGAAAGAAAGUAGUUGAUGUUGUUGUUGUCUUGUAUUUGGAAAUAUGACAAGUAUUAGUUUCCCACAAUUUUCUCAUUUCCUACCUCACCUACAAAAAGUCUAAACCAAUCCCACAACUUUACUCCUCACACAUCCAUAAACAUUUAAAAACUUUGGGUUUGGGUUGGUGUCUUGUGUGUUGGUCACAACAUCCACCACAAAAACACAACAAAUCUAGGGUAGGACCCAAAAUAUGGCACGAAAGUAAUUCCAAAAAUUUAGCCUCUGGAUUAGUGUUAACACUCUUUUGUUAUUGGCGAUGAAGCUCUGAAACGGGGAUUUCAAGGGAUACUUUAUUAUUAUAAUUAUCAUCUUGUUUUAUUGAGGAUUUGAUGUGUAUUUUUCUAGGGCUGUUGCUGUGCUGUAUCAGAGCUGGAAGGUUCCCUGUGAAAAGAAAUAAAAAAACUUUAUUUUUUUUUUAAAAAACCAACCCCAUACUUAUAUCUUAACCUUAUCCUGUGUUCUAAAUUAUUUUUUAAUAUAUUAAUAUUAAAAAUAAAUUUUAAAAAAAUAAAAAUAUAUAUUAUUUUAAUAUAUUUUUAAAUAAAAAAUUUUAAAAAAUAAUUAUUACCGCAUUACACUGUGAAAUAAGAUGCUAGUAUUAUACUAUUUCUUAGCGUUUGGAUAGGUUUUUGUCACAUGGGAACAUGUGGUUGGUGAAACGCACAUGGACAGCGCUUUUCUGAUGAUUUCAAAUCACCCUUGCCUUGCCUGCCCGUGCCUGGGUGUUUGUUCAAAAACUACUUGACUGUUUUUCCUAAGAAAAAGAUACGUGAGUGGUUCAUCAACUUCUUCGAUUUCUGUUUGAUUUGGUUUGGUUGGGAGCAUCGACCUUCGAUAGAAGUUUGAUGUCUUGUAACUAGCAAUACGAUUGUGCCUGUUGAAACGACGUCGUGAUAGUGAUUGCCGAGGAUUUGCUCGGGUGCCAUCUCCUAAUCUCAUUUCACCUCCGUUCAAUAAUUCUUAUUUUAAGCAUUAAUUUAUUGAUAUCAUACUCUAAAUUAUUUUAGAGAACGUUAGGGUUCAAAUUUUUUUUUUUAUUAAUUUUAUAUAUAUAUAUAUAUUUUUUAAAUUAUUUUAAUAUGUUGAUCUUAAAUAUAACUUUUUAAUAAUAAAAAAAUAUCAUUUUAAUUUAUUUUAAUAUACAAAAUACUUUAAAAAAUAAUUAUAACACACUCUCAACCUUAAACAUUAAUUCAUCAUCAUUAGAAUUUUAAGUUCCUUCCUUUCUUUUCUAAUAAUAAUUGUGUCCAACUCGAGAAGAACAUAAAGUAAAAAGGAAAAAAAAGUAAAGUCAUCGAUUGGUCUCUCAAGUUCUGCACUUUCGGUAAUGACAGCCCUCGGAUCAUAGUGGCGUGUGGUCUUUGUACAAAUUAUGUUCCCUAGAUGUUGGCCACGUGUUACCUUCUUGUAACAUCUAAAGUGGAUGGACUGGCCGCAUAUGAGCCACAAAUUGAAAUUAUGAGGGUUGGAAUGUACAAAAUUAAAUAUAUAUGUGCUGAUUUGACUAAUUCUCAAAACUUAGGGACCAUGCUAAUGACAGGGACAAAAGUCUUGAUUUAUCUAGACAUGAUGUUUCAAAUUCAAAGUCUAAAUGCCGCGUUUGAAAAAAAAAAAAAUCAACAUACGACAUCAGCCAAUGGAAUGAAAGCAAAUUUUAGUACGCUGGAAGUUUCUGGACAGUAAUAAAAAGAUAAAGAUACUGUUUAGUCACGUGAUACGGCGGUGUUUCUGGACAGUUAUAAAAAGAUAAAGAUAAUGGAAGUUUCUAGAAUAAAAUAUUUUUUUAUUUAGAAAUUUAUUAAAAUAAUAUAUAUAUACACACCAUUACAUCAAAAAAAAAUCUUAAAAUACAAAAAAAAAUUAAAUAAUUUUUUUUUUUUUUGUAAACACUUUGCAAAAACAAAAAAACUCUCAAUAAAAAUAUUCCAUCAUCAUUCAAAGUUUUAGGGCAAACCACGUGAUUUAAGUUGGCAUUACAUGAUUUAAUAAUGCCAGUAGGAAAUUCCACACAGAAGAAACAUGUUUUAAAUACAAAAUGUUAAUUUUUAAAAAGUGGUCUAAUGAUUAAAAAAAUGUUUUAUUCUUUAAUUUCUUGAGAUCAAAUCUGAGAGUUAGGAUUUAAUCUAUGUUGUUACACAAAUUAAUAAAAAAAUAUCGUUUAAUUGAAAAAAAAUCACAAACUGCUACUGCUAAAUGUUGUGGUAUUGUUAUGUUCUAGACAAGGGGAAAUUGUUAGUAUCUCAUGCCCUUAAACCAUUUUUUCCCUUAAAAUGGAUUGUACAUACCUUUUUUUUAUAUUAUUGUUAUGCUCCUUUUUUUAAGCAGGUAGAUAUCAGUGUUAUAAAACCUAAUAUAAACAUUUACUUCGUGGGUGUUUGGUAUUGCGGUUGCAGCGACAAACAAAUAUUGUGAAAAAAUAUUUUGUUAAAUAUUAACCAUAUUUCUAUUACAUGUGGGUCCCACCUGAAACUGAGGAUAUACCUAAGUUUGUGAUAAGCAAUUUCCAAUUGCUUUUCUCGUGGUCAUGUUCUCAUCUCUCUCACCGACAUUGUAGAAUUAAUUAACAUUGCAAACCUUUCCCAACCCGAGAGCUCAUCUCUAUUGAUCUAGAAAAAUCAUUACAUUUCCCAAAUUUCUUCAUUUCCAUCUACUCCCUUCUCUUGUCUCUUGCCAAAAGACAACAAAACCAUUGCAAAAAAUUUCAAAAACAACAUGAGAGGCUCCAUUAUUUAGAUUUGUAAAAAUCUUGCCUUUAUUUCCCAAAGUUAGAUGCCAGAGAGAGUGUACAUUCUUGUUCCCCUUUGCUCCCUUCUCUCAUCUCCUUCUAAAGGACAAUAGAAAAGGAUGUCUUCUUCUUUCAAAUCAUCUUCUUUCAAGCAAUUGUCAUUUGCCUUGUUCCUCUCCAUCCCUUUUUCUUUCAAACGAAGAUAUGUCAUCUUCACCGAUAUAAAUUGUGCCAAGAGGUCUCCAUUGUUUUGGUUUAUAGAAAAAAGCAACAAAUCCAUGCUGAGAAAACUUACACGAGAGAGAGAACCGUAAGUUCUUGCCUUAUCUCCAUCUUCAUUUUUUUAUUUAGCUCUAAAUUUAAUUUUUGUGUUGCUUGAUGAAAUCUAUUUACUAUGCAUAAUUAUAUGUUGUUCUGCGUUGAAAUUGGUUUCCUAGUUGUUCGUUUACUAGUUUACACUACUGCUGCUUGAUUUUUUAUUUGUUUACUGGAAACAAUGUGAUUCAUCCAUGCUAAUUAUUAUUGAAUCUAAUAAACAGUAGAGUUCUUUACAAGCAUUUUUUUUUUAUAAAUUUUUUUAAUCCCAAUAGUUGUGUGAUUAACUGAGGGGAAAAGUUAUUUCAUUUGUGUUUUGCUUAAUCUGUUUACGUUAAUGAGCAGAGUAGUUUUUGUCAUCCUUUAUUUGCUCAAAAAUCCCCAUGUAAUGUUGAACUUUAGAUUUACAAUAUCACUUUUUACAACCAUUUUCAACAUAAAAUGUUUCAAUUUUUGCCUUGCCACAAGCUUCCCUGGGAAAUUUUAAUUCCAAAUAACUAUAGUUAAUUGCGACCUACGAUGCAAGCAUAAAAUAUUACAACAAAAUUAAUUGUGACCUACUUCAAUUCUGUUGCCUUAUUAGCCUUUUUGUUUGUCCUACAAAACCUUUUUUUUUCUGUAUUUGCUGCCUUGAAUUGAAAAAUAAAGAAUAUGUGUUUCAUGUGCUUUAGUUUCUGUUGUUAGAAAUGAACACAAUCUCACUUGUUUAAGAUAACCAUAAUAAGACAAAAUAGAUAUUUCAUUGAAUAUGGAUUGGAACUACAGAAUUGAAAAAUAUCUUGCAAAACAUAAAGCUUAAACUGACAAAUAUGUCUAAAAUAAUUAUUGACUUGAGCAAUUUCACCUAAAGAGAGGAAUCACCAACAAGCAAGCAUUAUAUAUAUAUUAACAUAGAUUAUUCUGAUGUAUUGGUUGAAUCUACGAUAAUAUUUUUCCCUCUAAGUAAUUGAUAUCAUUGAUUGUUUUUUUUGUUAAAUGUUUUAAAAGAUUCCAUGGAAGGUCUUGAAUCUUUGGAUAAGGUUGCUUGGAUGAAGGAAAUGUUGCAUAUAUUUUUUGAUAUAUGCAUUAAGGCCAUUGAUAUGAGAAUGAGACCUAAUACUUAUUUCGAUAAAACAGGGUGGAAAUUUCUUAUAACAUCAUUCAAAGAACAAACUGGUCAUGCAUUCACUAAAACACAACAGGAAAAAAAAAAAAAAAAAAGGAUGGAUGCAAAAAGGAUUGGAGGAUAUGGACAAAGCUGAUUUCUAAAAUUGGUAUCGGCUAGAGUAGUGAAUUAGAAACAAUUUCAGCUAGCAAUGAGUAGUGGAAAGCAAAAAUUCAAUGGUACAAAAGUUAAAGAUAAAGCUGUAAAUGAAAAUGAUGCAUGUAAUGGUUUCAAAGUGCAGAAACUCAAAACAUAUAGGGACAAAAAUGUAGAGUAAUGGAAACAAAACAGUAGGGCCAAAGCAUCUUGAAUAAUUGAAGGAGGACAAUAUCUUUAUUGGAUUCACAUCAAAAUAUAAACAUUCUGCCUACGAAAGAACAUCUAUAUGUUCAUUUUACAGCUCAUACAUGUCAAAACACAAUUAUUUUAAAAGAAAAAUAAUUCAAAAUAUUUUAAAUUUUUCUAUAUAAGGAGGGAUGUGUGUGUUCAUGUUUUUUUAAUAACAUAACUUCCUUUAGAACAAACCUUUCAAUUGCAUUUGAUACAAGCAAGUGGAACACCUUUUUUUCUUACUUUACAAGUAUGUAAUUAAUGAUUUCUCACCAACUCUUUGAUUUUUUUUAACUUAAUGAUAUUUAAUUACUUAUAGUAUUUUAUUAACAAAAUUCCAUUUUUUUUUAUUUACAUGUAAUUGAAGAUAUGGAUGAUCUGCGGUUUAAUGCCAUAUUUAACGAAGAUUUUGAUGACGAUUAUGAUAUUUAAUUACUUAUAGUAUUUUAUGUAAUGAACCACAUUGUAGACCAUAUUAAUUAUCCUAGUUGUGAAGGUAGUGGUGCCUAAGUUACUAAUGUUGGAGAUGACAGUGAUGGACAAUGACGAUGACAACAGUAAUGAUGACGACGACAAUGACUGUGACGAUGAAAGUGAUGAUGAAGAAUUUAUUUUAAAGAGGUAGUUUGAUAUGAAUAAGUUAAUUAUAUGCAUGACUGAAGCUAUAAAUAUGUAUUAUAUUAACCAUAUGCACAAAGAACCAUGUAUGAUUUCAUACAACACAGGGAUGCGUUGGUUGAAUGAGGUUUUAAGAGGUCAUUAGAAACGAUGUGUUAAUAUGUUUAGGAUGAACAUAACCACUUUAUUGAAUCUAUGCAAUGAUUUAGCAACGCAUCAUAGCUUAAACCUUCAAGAAGAAUGAGAGUUAUUGAAAAUAUGACAAUGUUUCUAUUUACAAUAGCAGUAGAGACGUCAAAUAGAAAAGUGUAAGAGAGAUUUCAACAUUAAGGUGAAACUGUUAGUAGAUGUUUUAAAGAAGUCCUGAAAUCAUUAUGUUUUUUUGUUGUAGAAGUUAUAAAACCGAUAGAUCCAUAAUUUACGAGCACACCAAAACAAAUUGCAAUGAGUCCAAGAUAUAUGCCACAUUUCUAGGUAAGAUAAAUUUCUUUUUAACUAAGUUGUUUAAAUGAAUAUGAAAUAUUUUAUUAAUGAUUACGAUCACUUAAUUUUUUUUGGUAUGUAGAAUUGUGUCGGUGCAAUUGAUGGCACACAUGUUCGUGGCUAUAUAUCAUCUGAUAAUUAAAUUCCAUUUAUCGGAAGAAAAGUGUACCAACAUAAAAGGUUAUGGUCGCUUGUAGUUUCGACAUGCAAUCCAUGUUUUUGCGGGCAGGAUGGGAUGGCAGUGCACAUGAUACACAUAUUUUUCUUAAGGUUAUUGAUAAUAACAAUAUAAAAUUUCCAAAACCACCAAAAGGGAGUGAUUUGCAAGAAAAUACUAUUUAGUUGAUACUGGAUAUCCUAAUGAGUAUGUGUAUUUGGGUCCCUAUAAAGGCGAGAGGUAUAACUUACAAGAAUUUAGGCGUCAUGGAUAACCAAGUGGCCGAGAACAAGUGUUUAACCAUGGACACUCAUCCCUACGUAACGUGAUAGAAUGUUCUUUUGGGGUAUGGAAACAGAGGUGAAGAAUUUUGCAAAACAUACAUACUUAUCCAUAUAAAACUCAAGUUGAAAUUGGAGUUGCAUCAAUGGCACUACAUAACUAUAUUAUAAAGAGAUCGCAAGAUAAUGAGGUUUUUUCCGAGUAUGAUCACGAUUUUAAUUUUAUUCUAGAUGACUUUUUACUUGAUAUUGCACCUUGCUGAGCUAUUCAAGGAUUACAGAGCCCUUCAUGUAUGGAUUUUGUAUGCGAUGAGAUUACAAAUAGUUUGAUGGGACAAUGAAUUUUUUUUUUUUUAUUAAUGUACAAGGAUUAUUCAUUUCAUUAUGGAAUCAUAAUUGUAAAACAAAAACGUUUUGCCAUUUAUAUAUAUAUAUAUAUAUAUAUAUAUAUAUAUAUAUAUCCUUUGAAGUAAUUUUACAAUCAAACCUCAUACAAAAAACAUAUUGAUCAAAUACAAGAAAUUUUUUUUUUUUCAACCACAAUUUCAACCGCAGUUUUAACCAAACACAUCAAACUUUAAAAUGAACCUAAAAAAACACUUUUUAUUCAACUAUUUUUUUGAAACCAUAACCACAAAAGCAACCACAAUACCAAACAGACUCUUUAGUUUUUUUUUAUCUUCUCUUUGUUACUGUAAAUAAUUGUUUUUAGCUUUCUUUUUUAUAUUUAAAUUCAAUUAUUUUUAUGAAAAAUUUAACGUCGAUCUCUAAAAAUAAAAGACUUUUUGACUUUGUUAUUCUUAAAAUUAAUUAAAAUCUUGACAUCGGUUCCAUUUUAAAAUAAGACUUGCCAUUUUAGCUAUUAAUUUUUUUUAUUAAUGAUCUCUUAAAAAUGAGACUUGUUUUUCAUAAGAUUUUGACACUAGUCCUUGAAAAAUAAAUUUGUCAUUUAAUCCGCUUCUAGAAUGGGUAUCAUAUCCAUAAUAAAGAUAGAGAUUGGAUUGAAUCAACAAAAGUGACAAAAAUAAACUUUGAUUUUUUUUUUUUGUUCAUAACAUGUAAGUUGGAAAUUUUUGUCAUUGUUUAUUUAUUUAUUUUUUAAGAUACAUGAGUUUUUGAUUUUUUUUUGUUUUUUUUGCUUGUAAGCCUAAUGAGCCAUUUGAUUUUGACCAAGUUUUAAUAGACUUAAUAAACUUGUCAUUAAAUUCAAAUAUAUAUGAAAAAAAAAAUAUUCUUUGUUUUUUAUGAAUAUGUUAAAACAAAUAUUUUUUUUCAAAUAUUAAAAUGUGAAAAAUACUUGUUCUUUUUUUGUAAUAAAAAAACAAACAAAAAAGACAAAUGCUUUUUUUUAUUGUACUAGAAUAUGCAAUUUUUUCAAAAGACAUGUCCAUAAUGCAAUCUGAAUAUAAAAAUAGAAAAAACCUUUACUACUUCUAAAUUUUUCAUUUUCAAGUCAUAUCAUGACCUGGAUCACCAAUAUUAUUCAUUGUUAUGAUACACAAUCUAUAGUUAUGAGAAGAGAUCUCACCAACAUGGACACAAAGAUUGGGGUUUUGUUUUUUUUACCAUGCAUGUUUUUAGUUUUCACUAGGUGGUUGGUGCUAUGCUGCAUCCCAACUUUUAUUUUGGUAUCAAAAAUAUCAAAACAAAAUAUUUUUUAAAAAAUAAAAAAUAUAUAAUAUUUAGGUAAUUGAUUCAAAUGAAUUUAUAAACACUGUUAAUUUAAUAAUAUCAUUAGAAAAUAAAAUAUCAAUAAUAAACAAAACAGAACACAAAAACAAUUCAAUACAAAAGAUGAAUGCUUACCAAUAUUAUAUAAAUAUUUAUUCAUAAUAUUCUAAAAACAUCUCAAUAAUCUUAUUUGUUAACAAAGGAAAAAAUUAAAUGAGAAUAUGAUAAUUUUAUAGAAAGAAAAAUAAAAAAAUAAGAUAAAAAAAAGUCAACUAUUGUUAACCUUUUAAACCAUGACUCGGGUUAUAAGACAGAAAAAACUAUAUAUGAAAAAAUCACGAGGAUUAAAAUCACAAAAAAAACCAACACAAAAAAAACCAAAAUUAGAAAAUACAAUAAAAAAAUAAUGAAUGUUAAAAUUACAAUAAGAAAUAAAUCUAAAGGCAACAACAAAUUUUAAAUUUGAGAGAUAAAUCGAAAAGAAUAAAAACAUUACAAAAACAAACCAAAAGAAUAAAGACAAAAAAAAAACAAUACACUAUAAACUUGGAUUGAAGGGUGGAACUAAAAACAAAGAAACUUUCAUAAAAGAUUCAAGGAAAAAAAAAUCAUAAGAAUAAGCAUCAAAUCUUAAACAUCAAAACAUAAUAAAAAAAAUGAAUAUACAAAAUUCUUCAACAUGUUUUUUUGACACUAAAAAAAUCUCCAAGAUUUAUAUCAAAAAACUUAUACAUGUAUCUAGUUAAAUAACCCAAUAACCAUAAUGUAAAGAAAUGAAAAAAAAAUUCAUUAGCAAUAAACAAAAAUAAAAUUGAGAAAACCAAGUGAGAAAUAAAGAUUAAGAUAUCUAACAUUGCAAUAUGAGUAAUUUACAUGGUUAUAUUUAAUGAAUUUCUCCAUCAAAAUAAAUUUGUAAUAGAUUUCACAUAUAAAAUUUAUAUUAGAAACUGACACACACAUAAAAUUUAUUGAAUAAUAAUUAAAAAAACAAUACAAGGUUGCACAUAUAAGAAAAUCUUCUAAAUAUAUCAAUUAAAAAAAACAGAUUAAUCUAUAUAAAAUUAAGAAAAAAUCACAAAUCAAUCAUAUUCACCUCUCUAAAAAAUAAUCAUAAUCAAAUUAAAUCAUAAACCCUAAAUUUAUUUGAAAACAUAUACAUAAAUAAUGCAUUAUUUUUUAAAAAAUAAAAAAGAAGAAGCAGUCCAAGCAAUGCUGAGCCUGGUAAGCGAGGCCUAGCGUUGGUCCAAUAAAACAACGGUCCACAUGUAAGCUGUUAUUUAAAAAAAAAAAACAUUUGAUGGGACAGACAAUGUGUAGUCCACCCCAAAUAUGUCAAAACAAUGAAGUGUUGCUUGGCAAACCUAGGAAAAAACAAGGUCCUUUGUUUUUUUUUUCUCAUUUUCAACCCAUUUUAGACCCAAAAACACCUAGAAAACACUCUAGAGACCUUGUUAAAGCAAUCCAUGGCCACCAAAAAACUAAUAAACCACCCCAAAACUCGUAAUCCACCCGAAACAAAAAAAUUUCUUGAGCUUAGAUAUAUUGUUUUAGGUGUUUUCAAGGUAAACAAACACCUAAAUGUAACCUCCCUUUAUUAUAUAGAACCUUUUGACACAAAAAUCAACCAUUUUGGUGGUAAGAAUCUUCCCUAAUAAUCAUUUUCUCUCUCUUCCCCUAAUAGAAAAUGACUGAAAAAAAGUAGAAAAUGAAGUCGGGUACCAACAUGUAUUUUCUUUAAAUUCAAAGGAAUAAUCACCUAAUAUCGAAAAAAUAUGGGGGGUUAAAAUAAUUGUUUCAACGAAACUUUCAUCUUGUCCCCCAUUUUACCUGAGAUUUUCACUUUAGUCUCUUAACUUUCAAUUCAACCCUCCUUCCUAAAAAAAUAUGUACUUUAGGGGCUAAUUUGGGUUUAAAAUAGCCAAAUCAUGUAAAAUAAAAGUUCAAGGACCAAAGUAAAAAUUACCAAAAAAAUACAUUGCUUUAAUUCACAAUAAAUUACGAGAGAAUGUAGAGGAAUUCAUGCAUAGUAAAAGGCUUAUGCCCUUUUAGUUUUGUUUGUACUUUCUCAAAUGAUGUUAAGUUGUGAUUUUUUAUGAUUUAUGAGUCAACAACUUGCAACUUCCCUACUAAUUUUCAUGAUUUAAAAAGACGAAAAUCAUUGGUCUUCUCUCCCUAUCCUUAUGAAUUGACAACAUGCAUUUUCCAUAUAGAUUUUAAAUUUAUUCAAGAACUAUGUUUUCUAAUCAAAUUUAAGAUUCAGGUUAUUGAAGAUUCUUAAAUAUAGGAAAAGUAAAUCAUGCUUUCAUAAGUAUAUGAUUUUAGGUCCCACGCUUACAUGUUCAUUCAUUAAAAAUUGAAAAUCAAGAAUUGGAAUUACAAAUAUACAAUGAGAAAAUUAAAGGUGAUCAUUUUUGGUUUGAUUUGGUUUUUAUAUAUAAAAAAAAAGUAAUGAAACCAAAUUUAUUUUUAAAAAACCAAAAUUGGUUCAAACUGAUCAGUUUCUGAUUUUUUAGAACAAAAACUUGUUCAAACCGGUUUGGCUUGGUUUUUUCGGUUUGGUUCAAUUUUGGCUUGUUUUUUUUUUUGUUUGGCUUGAUUUUUUUUCCGGUUUUGGUUUGGUUCGGUUCAGUUUUUUCGAUUUCAAGCUUAUAAAAUUGAAACCAAACCAAUUGAUUUUUUCAAAAUUCUAAUCAGUAUAAUUGAUUUUUUUUUCACGAUUCAAUUUUUUUGAUUAUUUUGUUUUUCAGUUUUCUUAGUUUAAUCAGUUUUUUUAUUUUUUUGCUCACCCCUACUAAUACCUAUUUUGAUGCAGAUCAAACACAUUUUAUAAACUGAAAAUCACUAGAACCAAUUCCUUUUAUUAAGAAGCAAAGAUUAAGAGCUUGCCUCCCAUUAGUUUUGCAAGUUGAUUUUUAUUUUUAGACAAUAGAAGAAUGAACAAAACUUGAAUUGCAGGAGCUAAACAAUCUUUGUGGUGAUAGUGAAAAAUGAACCUUGCCCAAAAAAAAAAAAAUGCAUUGUAGUGUACUUUGAAGCUAAAUUCUCACAUGGAAGGCCACCUACCUAAUUUUGUGUUUCUUCAGUUUAUUUCUCGGUAUUUGCUCUUCUCCCUUCCUUUUUUUUCUUUGAUAUUUUUUUCAGCACACUGUCACCAUUAUUUUUUUAAUCUCUUUUUCAUAAUUAAUCAUCUAUAACUUUCUUUUUCAAAACUUUCAAAUGCAUACUCUUGCUUUAAGAAGGUAGAAGUUAAAGCGUCAAUAAAUUAACUAGUCUCUAAUGGUGAUAGAUGGGUAUUGCAGCGAGAUAAAGGUCUUGAAAGAGAAACAAGUUGUUAUUGAGAUGGAGCUUCGAAAGUUGAAAUCAACAUACAUGUUUCUUUGUUAUGAGAAAGACUUGGUUGAUGUGGAGCUUGCUUCUCUUUGUGUAGAGAUUCUUGAAGCUAAGAAGAAAUUUACUUCAUGUAAAAAAAAGAUUAGAGAGUUGAAGAGGGCUUUGGUUAAUGUUGAGGGUGUGUUUGUGAAAACACAGAAUGAGCUAGAAAAUCUAUAAAAUGAUCUAGCUCAGUCAUAUGAAAAAUGUGUUCAUAUGCAGUCAAUUAGAGAGAACUACUUUGAGUUUAAGGCUCGUUCUAAAAAAAACCCUGCAUUGAAAACAAUAGUGAAGGAUAAACUGGGUGAUACAAUGAGAGAUCUUUAUUUUUAUAAUUCUUUCAAAAAUACCAACAUAGAUUUUUCAUAAUUAUUUCUUGGCAACAUCCCCAACUUUGAUGAGAGUAGUUCUAGGAGAGCUUGUACUACCUUUCAAGGUCGAUACUUGUUUGAUGAGACUAAACGUACUGGAGGUGAUAGAGACAAUAAUGCUUGACUAGUUUAUUCAUGUUUUUUUUUUUUUUUUGUAAUGGUGUGUAAUGAAACCUUGUGUUUAAUGCAAUAUAUAUUGUUAUAUAUUUCCUAAUAAAAUAUGUUUUUUUGAGAUAUGAUGGAUUUGUUUUUCCAUGUAGAGAGAUAACAUAGAAACAUUGAUCAUAUAGACAUAAAGUAAUAGAUUUAUUGAUAACUUGAAGAUGAAAUGAAGAUUUUAUCAUGGAGAGUCAUAUGAUGAAGUUGUUUCUCUUAAAACACUUUUUUAAGUGAUCAGAAUGCUAUGCACAAAGAAGAUUUUUUCCUUCCACAUCCUGUAAAUGGUAUGUGAUAGACUUGAUCACCCUUGUUAUCUAAAUGGGCCAUCCCAUUUUAGAUUCAAUUUUUAUUUUUCUUUAGUGAUUCCUAUCACUUUUAAUUUUCUCAACACCAAAACUUCUAUUUUGAAUUAUUUGUACUUAACUUUAGCACUAUGGUAUCAAACGACUUUAUGUUUGAACGCCUCACUCUAUAUUACAAUCAUCAACUUGACUUUCUCAACCAAAUCUAAAUUGGCCAUUAACCCUCAUCAUUGUCAUGCAUGGAGAAAUAUAACACCAUGUAACAAGGGCAUCCUAUUUAUACAAGGAUAACAACCUUGGUCCAUAUGUUAGGAGAAAGGUGUUUCUCUUGUUGAAGUCUUUUUUUUUAAGGGGGUCCUAUACACCCAUAAGAUUUCAUCGAACAACUAAGCACAUUCUUUGGCUCCUUCUAUUUUUUUUCUUCGAACCAUUUAGUAAUAUUUUAUUUGUAAGAUUUUUUUGCCUAUUGGUUUGUGGGUGUAAGACUAAGAAGAACCCGUAGUUAAUGUUGAGCCUUUGACAUUGUUCUCACAUCUUUCUAUUAUUAAAUCGAGUGUCAUUAUCUAUAAUUAAAACUUGGGGUAGCUUAAACUUGCAAAUAAUAUUUUUAGUUAAAAACAAGAUAACUUUACUAGUGGUUAUUUAUGUCAGAGCCUUUAUGUCCAUUUAUUUUAUGAAAUACUCAACCAUUACUAAGCUGAAGUGUCUUUCUUUAAUGGCCUUAGGGAAUGGUUUUAAUAUGUUUAUGCCCCAUUGAGAGAAAAUACAUGGUGAUGUAAUGAUGGUUAUCUAUAUUAACGAUUGAUAAGGUACAAGAACAAACCUCUGGCAUUUGUCACACUUCUUUACCAAGUAAGUGGCAUCCUUCAAAAUAAUGAUCCAAUAAAAACUUGUAUGAGUUAUUUAGGCAGCUAAAGCCUUAGCUACAACAUAGAUGCCACAUAUUCCUUCAUGAACUUUUCUUAUAAUAUACUUGCUUUCACCAAGAGACAAGAAAUUUAGCAAAGAUAUGGAAGUUAACCUCCUAUAUAGUUCUUAUUCAAGAAUACAAUAUCUAGUGACAUGCUCUGUCAACCUAAUUGCCUAUAUCUUAUUCGUCAAUGAUUUCUUAUAAAGAGAUAAUGUUUAAUGGAGUUUUCUAAUCAUCAUCUUCUAUUAUUAUCUGUAUGUUUUCCAUUUUGCCUAUUUUUUCUUAUAUACUUGGCUUUUCUAGCACUUUAAUCCACACAUCAAAAGGUAGGUUAACUGGAUCGCCAUUUGCUAGUUUUGAAAGAAGAUCAGGUUUAUCAUUUUCUUCCCGAGCAAUUUUAAAAAUAAAGAUGAACCUUCCUAUACAUUUCUCUAAGUUGAUAUGUUUUAAUAUUUUUUUUUAUUGAUAUUUGAUUAUAGAAGGUUCUUUAGCUUCGAACUCAUUUAGGCUUUGUCUCAUAACAAGUUGAAAGUCAUUGUACACAUAUAGAGGAUAUACAUCAAGGUUAUCUAGGUACAUGACAACUAGUAAGGCAUCAUAUUCAAUUAUGUUUUUUUAAGGCUUGAAACUCAAAAUGAAAACCAUACUAAAAAAGUUAUCCCUAAGGAUAGUUAGGACAAACGACUCCUACUCUACUUCCAUUAAUAGAUAAAGACCCCUCAUUGUAGUAGUUAUAGAUGAGUGAUAGAUAGUGAGUCUUACUCUAUAUAUUAUGAUUCUAUUAUAUGAGAUUCUAUUAAAGAACAUUAUGCAAUGAAGUGAUCCAAAGCCUAUUCUUUUAUAGUAGGUCUAGGCCAAUAACUAAGGCCAAACAAUUUCAAUUAUAUUGCUUAUUUUACCAGCAUCGUGAUAAGUCUAGCUUAUAGGAAAUCUUUCUUAUAGGUUAGUAUAUUAGCAUAAUCACCUAGUAUGUUUGAAAAUAAGACUUUAGCUUCAUUGUUGCACUUAAAAGCUACUUUUUCAAUCUUCAGUAUCUUGUCUUUACAUUAUGCAACACCCUGUUUAUAUAGUAGAUAUUCUUUUAAACUCUUUUUUCUUCUUGUAUGAGUAUUAUGCUAACUACCAAAUCUAUAAUACCUAAAAAAAAAAAAGGCAUUCCCUCUCUUGUGGUUAUGAAAGGACUUUUAAAUAAGAGAGAUAAGCCUUUAGCUUUUCAAAGGCUUUUUGGCACUUUAGAGUCUAAUCAAAAUUUGAGAUAUUCUUUAAGGUCUUGAAAAAAGGUAGGCAAUGUUCUCCUAACUAUGAGAUGAAUCUAUCUAACAUUGUUAGUCUUCUAGUGAGUCUCUAAAUAUCUUUGAUACACUAUGGUGGGGUCAUAUUUAAUAUAGCUUGAAUUUUCUCUGGAUUAGUGAUUAGUACUUAAAAGUGCAUUUUUAUCAAGGUUUUAUAUCAUCAUUUUGCACUUAAAGUAUCAAUAACUCAUUAACUAAAGCAUGUUUUAUAAUAACAUACCUAAUAAUAUAAGAUACCUUUAAUUUAAGGUAAAUGUUCAUCUUAAAUGCAGGCCUAUCACAUAAAUGAAAAGGAUUGAUUGAUGAGUUUAAGUAUUGAAAUUGAAAGGAUAUAGAGAGGGCAAAACUUAGAAAAAAGAUGUUGGUGCAGUCCAAACUGGAACACUGUUCGGUAAUUAGGUCAUAUCUCGAGUUCUAGAUGUCCAAAUGACCUUAAUUUUUAGAAACGAUUUGAUAAGACAUAGGCCUACAACUUUCAUGUGGAGUCCAAAAUUUAAAAAGUUCAUUUUCAAGUCCAAAAUAUAGCAACAAUGGAGAGUCUGAAUCUGUUCUGUAGCCUAGACACUGUUCAGUGUUCAGCCCAUAUCUUGAAUUCUAGAAGUCCAAAUGAUCUUAAUUUUUUUUCCUAGAAAGAUAAGAAAAUUUCUAUAACUUUCAUGAGUACAGGUAGUUCCAGUUCUGAUACUAGCAAUGACAUUUUAUUCAGACAAGAAGAUAAGGAUUUUCACCAAGUCAAGACUUGGCCACCCACUCAACAAUUAGUCGUCAAAUCAAUAAUUCCAAAUUUUAGCCUAUAAAAGAAGGUAUUUGCCAUGCAUUUAGGGGCUUAGAUGUUCAGAUCAAGAACUUGCUCUUGCUCUCUCUCUCUCUUUAUAUUUUGUUUUUGUAAUUCUUAAGUUUUGUUUUCAUUAAUAUCUUAUUUAUGCUUUUCAUUUCCUUUCCUUUACUUAAUUAACUUGUAUCUUAUUUAUCUUCUUAUUUUGUUUAUUUAUGUUUCUCUUCUUCAUUAUAUUCAGCUAAGUUUAUUAUGUCAAGGUGAAAAGGUUACACUAAUGGUGUAAGAAGAAGUAUGGUGUAAACUCAACAUGGACCUUAAUGUUUAAUAUUAACAUGUCUUAUCUUUUUAUCUUACUAAUUCUUAAUACCUUGCUUGUUAAAUGAUUAAUCUAAAUUUGUGUUGUAUAACACUUGGUACAACAAAUACUUGGCAUUCUCAUAGCCCAACUGUAUGGUAUUACCUACACCUGUGCUAUGAAAGGAACUUGAUUUGUUGUUAACAUAAGUUAACAUCAUGAAUUCCUGAUAAUAUUUGAAAGUUUGGUGUUACUUAAAUAAGAUAAUUAAUAUGAUCAUGUUAACAAUUUAUAACGAGUUAUUAAUGACAAAUCAUCCGAUUAGAACCUCCUUUGUGUGUGGUUUCCAGUUGAAUAAUAAGAGUUUAUACUAUACUUGUUUGAAAUACCAUUAGUGGAUCCUCUAAUCUUGACAUUUGUUUUUAUCAUUGUCUAAUCCUUACAUUAAUCUCUCAUCUCAAAGUUCUCAUCAACUUCUUCUUCAUCUUUAUUAUUAUUGUUGUUGUUGUUGUUGUUGUUAUCUAUAAUUUAUACAAUUAACCUCCCUAUGGUUUGACACUCUUACACUUGAAAGAAGACAUCAAUCUUUUGGUCGUGUCAAUUAGGCUUUAUUCCUUUGCUACUAACUAGAAACCCAAGAAACUUUCCUUAUAUAAUUGCAAAAGUAAUGUUAACAUGAUUUAACUUUAUUUGAUAUGAGCGUGGAAUAAAAAUACCCUUUUUAAGUCAUGAAGAUGUUGUUCAAAAGUCAUGUUCUUCACUAGCAUGUCAUUAAUGUAUGCUUCCUUAUUCUUUCCCAUAUCCUUUAAAUAUUUAUUCAUAAUGUAUUAGUAUAUGGCACUUGUAUUUUUUAGGCCAAAAACCAUAGUUUUAUAAUCAAAGCUACCCUUUUUAGUGAUGAAAUAAGUGUUUUCUUCAUUUUCUAAGUGCAUUAGUAUUUGAUGGUAACCAAGAUUAGCAUUUAAAGGGCUCAAAUAAUCAAAACCAACUAUUAAAUCCACCAAGCUAUUAAAAUUUAAUCAAAACCAAGCUAUUAAAUCAACAUUAAUUCUCAUAAAUUAAAAUUUUAAAAGGUUAUGGAUUCAAUAAACUGGUUAUUAAAUUCAAAAUGUGUGCGCGCGCACAAAUGUGUGUGUGUAUAUAUAUAUAUAUAUAUAAUUUUGUAUGGAAAUACUGAAACACCAUGUAUUUUAUUUUCUUUAACCAAGAUAUGAUUUUAUUUUGAUUUUUUAGACUUGGUCGUAUGCAAUUAAAAAAUUUAAUUCUUUUUGUCCUUUUGGUUUUAAACAUUUAAAAACAUAUAAGAAAAUACAAACACACACACCUAUCAUUUUUACUAAUUAACCCACACACCCAUUCAAUUACAAAUAUUUACACAACAUUGUAAUUAAACUCAAAUAAUAAAAAAAGAAUCAUUUGAAUCCUAAAAUAAACCUUCUAAAGCCUGAGCUUUGGGAGACUGUUAUAAGGUGUUGAAAAUAGAGAAACAAUGGAGGUGCAUGGGUUCAACGCAUUACAGUCACUGUCAGGACGUGGUUCCAUGCACCACUACUGGUGAAAUGGAAAACAAGGUGGAUCUAAAAGAAUUCCUCAUUUGUUCCCUUUUUGUGUCGGCGACAAAGACUAACACCACUUGUAAAACCAAGAAAAAAUCAAUAAAAUAGUCAUUUUAUUUUUCUUUCUUCUCUUUAGAUCUACCUCUCUCUCUACUUUUCUUCUCUUCUUCUUUAUAGGUUCAACACCACCAUUGCUUGUUACUAUAUUAACAGUCGAAGAUGGGAGGAGAGUAAGUUGCCAUGAUUGUUGUGGGUUAAAGGAGCCAUCGCCAUAGGAGCUACUAACUAUAGGUGUCAUGUUUAAAGAUGAAGGUUGUUGUGAUUCUUGGCUAGAAGGAGAUUUAUUGGUGGUGGUAAAAAAGAAAAAAAAUUCAAGAGGGUGAUUGAUAUAGUGGUUGGGUCGAUGGAUGUUAAUGGAUGACAGUGUUGCUAGAGGUGUUAAUGGCUAGUUGAUAAUGGUGGUCAAGAGUGGGUAGAAGGUGGUUAAUGAUUUGAAAGAGAUUUAAAAUUGUCAUUGGUUAACGGUAGUAAGCUAGAUCAGUGCUUGGUGGUUUCUAUCUAUGGUAUUUUUAGAUUCUAUUAUUGUUAGGGGUGUAUAGUGGAGAGCUGUUAGGCAUGAGGAGGGAGGCAGUGUGUUUCAUGGGCUAUUGAAAAGUUUUAAGUAAGGUGAAAGAGGUUUUGUGUUGGUUGAUUUUGAAAAAUUUGGUGAGGGGUUGUUUAGAUGACAAUGAUGAUUUGGCUAGAGGACAAUAGAGAAGGAGUUUUAUUUCGAGUGGUGCUAAGUGGAAAGAAAAGUGGCGGGUUGGUUGAUGAAGUAUAAUGAAACUCGUGGUAACUAGCCUGCCAUGGUUAAUUAAGAACACGAUGGAAGCUAUGAGGUUGAUAUUUGGUUUUUUAAUUACUAUCAGAUAGGUUUGUGAUGAGAGAUGAGGGUCAUGGGUUUAUAACUUUUUUUUGUUUGUGUUUGGAAAAGAAAGUGUUUGGUAGAAAUCUAACUAAUUAUAUAUGAUUUUUUUAAGUAGCUAAUGCUCUAACUAAUUUCUCCCUUGAAAUUCUCUCCCUCCUCUUAUGUGUGUAUGUGUAACCAUUUAUUUGUAGGUAUAAUUUUUUUGGCUUGAAGGCAAAGCAAACCAAGAUCAACAAUUGAAUUUCAAGAAUAAAUCUCUACCACUCAUUUGAUAACUUGGAGGCAAAGAAAAAAAAAACCCUUUGAUUAAAAGAAUUGAUUGCAGACCAUGUGAUUAGAAAUUGAGUUGCUUGGUAAGAGGGUUUUCAAUUUUAGAAUUAAUCAUCUCCCUUCCACAAUUAUAAAUAGGUUAAUAAAAUAAUAAAUGUAUUUUUUUGUUUUUUUUUAAUUCUUUGAAAAAGAUACUGAAAAUAGCGUAAAUACAUCAAUAACAUAAUUUAUGGGGCUUUUUUGAAAUUUUUUCAAAAAUAAAGUAAAAAAUUGAAUAGCAACAAAAAAGAACUAUGAAAAUCCUUUAGGGAUGUUCAAAUUAUUUUUUUCUGACUCCCUAUUGCAUAUCUAUUCUUAAAAUUAUUAUUUAAAAUAUAAUUGUAUUUUCUCUUAAAUAAUAAUUACUUAAGUAUUUUCAAGUCCUCAAGUUCAACAAAUAAGACUUUUUAUAGGAAUCGGGCUCUAGCCAUCAACCGCUUUAACUAGAAAAAAUUAAUUAAAUUAUCAAAACUAAAAGAUAAAUCAAUUAUCCAAGAUAUCAACUUGGCCUACAAGCUUAUUAGAUAAUUUCUAACCUCAUCAUAAAUAUAAUAUCUUUGCUCUUAAGAGACCAAUUCUAUUUGAGGAUAAAUAUUGUUUUAUGAUUUUAUAUAUAUAUAUAUAUAUAUUUGGUUAAUCCUACUCAUGUCAAAAACAUGUUAACUGCCCUAUAAAAAAAAUAAAAACAAAAACAAAAAAUAGGAUUAUAUCUUGUCGCAGCCAUGGCAUUUUUAUUUACGUGACGAAUGUAGAAGGGAACAUAUGGUUUCGUGGGGGGGAAUUUUUUUAUCCUUUGCAUGUUAAGAGAUUUUAGCUCUAACUUUCAAAAUUAAAAUAUUAAUUUGAGACUCUCUCUCGUUAAGCUAUUACUUAGAAUUAUCAGGUCUCAUGACAAUUGGGUUCAAUUACUAAUGGUCAGCCCAGAAAUAUGCAAAGGGCAAACCCAUUACGUGUAGCUUGGCCUUCUCAUCUUAACUCCCAUUCUUCAAAUCAUCGACCCUUCUUCUUUGGUAAGAGUCUUCGUCAGUCUGCUGGGUUUGAUGUCUUUUUUUUCUUUUCUUUUUCCUUCUGGGUUUAUAUAUAUAUAUAUAUAUAUAUAUAUAUAUAUAUAUAUAUAUAUAUAUAUAUUGCCAGUUAAUUAGCCCGACAGUGAAUUUGUUUAACUGUUCUAGUAAUGUUGAGGAUGCAUUUAGUUUCGUGUGGAUUAGGAGAAAAGUUCUUAUGAAUGUCAAAAUUUUGAGCCAACUCUUUUGCCAAAACGUUAAUGUUUAGAGAGUAGUUAGUUUGGUGUCCAAAUUGGGGGACAAGUGGCGAUAGGCUGGAUGCAUUGUCCAGACCAAGUCACACUAAGUUAUCAUAACUUGGAGAUUUUUAAUUCUAUCCAUCAUCAGCUGGUUGACUUUUUUCAGGCUAGACAGACCAUUAGGCAAUAUAGGGUUUAGUUAGGUUUCAGAUGCGGAGCCACGUGAUAUGACUGCAUCCAUUUAUGAAACAGAAGUUCAGACAACUGUUUCUCUUUGUUUCUCGAUUUUUUUUUUAAAUUAUCAUAUUAAUUUAAAAAAUUUAGCAGAAUAAUAUUUUUUGAAAAAAAUUCAGCAAAUCAGUGCAUUUUUAUAUCUUGUAACGUUUUUGAAGUGUAAUAUUUAUUAAAUAUUGCUUUUUUCAAGGUCGGAGAAAAUUUUCAUUCAUCAGAAAAGCAACAAUUAAACAUGUUAUGAUUCAGAAACAGAUAACUUGACAUUUAACAUGAUUCGUGAAAAAUAAGUGCAAAGUAACUGAGUCUUCUUCGAUCUCACAUACCAGAUAAAAGGAGAGAAACUCUUCUUUUCAAGACUUUCAUAAAUACACCUGACUGGCUUCGAGCCCCUUAGAGCUACGAGAAAGCUAUUUUGUCUUCCAUGAUAUAUGAGGAUCUAAGUGAUCACAGGUUGCAAAGCUUAAACGCUCCAAGGAGCUGGUUGUGGCAGCGUGUCUUUCAAUCUAUUGGCAAUUACCUUAGUCAUUCUCUUAUACAGUGUAGUCCCCAUAGCAAUGGGCCUCGGUCUAGUGAGGUUUUGCUUUUUUGGGAAUCAUUGCCAGGAAGAAGGAUUGAAUUGCAUCUGGUUUGCUCCUGUUCGACUUCAAUUACCAUAUGGAGAUGGAGGUCGUCCUUAAUUAUGUUCCAGCACUACCCCUGAAUCUAUCAACCAAGUAGAAGUUUAAGUUCAGUUGGAAUCCAUCUAAUCUAGUAGCUUUUGACUAUGAGCAGCCCCUCUGUUGUUGAUAGAUAGCUUAAAAGAUUGAAUUGAAUCUUUUUCCCUGUGCCUUGGGGACUGUUUACCCUAUAUUCUUGUCAUCUCAAGGAGAUGAUCCUAUGAAGAACAUAUGAAACUCUAUCUGUAACAUCUCACGUCAGAAAAAAAAGUGUCAAGAACUAGAACAUAUUAAGAUAGUUGGAAAGCCAGGUGUGGCUGAGCUAUAACGAAUAAUAUUCUGCAAGGGAGAGUGAGCCGGGUCUUGUAUAUAGUAUGAGAGCCGAGAAUGGCUUGUUUUUAAGGUGGGAAAUUAUAACAUCCCAUAUCAAAAAAAAAAUGUUCAAAGUUAGGGAAUAUUAAGAUAGUUGAUACUUAAUUGUACGACGUGUUAUAAGUCUUAUGUGUUGUUAGAAACAAAACUGUGAGACGUGAAAACUUAAUUGAACUGAGCCAUAACGAACAAUAUUAUGUAAAGAAGAGUGGGUCAAGCCUUAUCUCUUGAAAUGAAUAUCCCUUCCUUAGCUUAUGUCAUUUAUCUGAACAAGCAAAGAAAGACUUCAAAGAAGUUAGGAACUUACUCCUCUUCCCCUUCGAUACGUGCCUGCUACUGCAGCAACUAGAGAGGUACAGAUUCAAACAGGGGAGUAUUAGGAAGAUUCUUUCUAUCUCAUGUGAUUCACUCAUUAAAUGAAGGUGUUGUUCAGCAUUGGUUCUACUACACUUUUGAAAAAAAAAAAGUUUUAAAUUAAUUUUUUUAAUAUAAUUUUAAAUUAUUUUGUUGGAGGGAUGUUAAAAAUAAAUUUUAAAAAAUAAAAAAAAAAUAUUUUAAUAUAUUUUCAAGUAAAAAACAAUUUAAAAUUUUUAUCACUUGCAAUCAGGUAAAUAAAAUAGCUGGAAUAUUUGUUUUUUAGAUGAUAAGUUAUUUACAUAUCAAUUUAAUUAAUUUUAUGAUUUUAAACACAAUAUUGAUUAAUUAUUACAGGUUGCAGGUUUUAAAUGCUAAUUGCCGAAUUUGCAGUUAUUUUUCCACCCUCCCUCUCUUGACUUUUAAUGUAUGAGCUAUCUUUCAUGCAGCCAGACUUGACUACUUGAGGCAUAAGGCAAUCAAUUUCACCUGCCUUUUACCAAUCCUGGGUGUUAGCUUGCCGUCGAAUUUUACCCAUCGCUCAAAGUCAAGCAUAUCGCCCUGAUGACAAAGAAUCCCAACAAGGCGCCGGAGGGACACAAUACCAUGCUUCUAGCACUGCCAUUUUGGCACCAAAGUGUUGUGGAUUCAGAUGCUUAUUCCUGUUCUGAAUAACACCGGCCACUUGUUGACUCAGUGGGUCACUGUCAGCCACCAUUUUUAUUGGUCGGUGAAUUCCAUUAAGAGGAUGCAGAUAGUGGGUGUUUGAUCUAAUUUCAAAACCACUCUCGAAAACUAUGCUGGGCGCUGCCUGUUGUUUUCUGGUUGGUGAAUAUGUUUCUCUUUUUUAUCCUUUUGGCAUGAAUUGGCGUCUUGCUCAAGUAUAGAAGUGCUCCACAGCUCGAGUAGAUAUAUAUGGUAUAAGAAAUCAUAAAUACUUUAGUGCCACCAAGUUUAGUUUAUCAUAUAUUUAAUUUUUAUUAAAUAAAAAAAUAUUAAAAUUUAAAUUCAUAUUUAUUUGAUUAUCAAGGUUCCAAUAUCAUAUAAAAAAUAAUUUAAAUAUAAAAUUUUAAAUUGUUAAAUAAGAUUCUAAUAUAUCAUAUAUGAUUUAUUCGUCCUGAACUGUGAAGUUCAGCAAAUUUAUCUUCCUCGUGGUUAUUUGAUGUUGAUUACAGAUACAGGCCUUGAAUAUGAGCUUGUGCGAGUUUGAUUACUAUUAUGGAUUAUUACUACUAUCCAUUAUGCAAGGGAGUGUAGGAGUAGAAUGACGACAAAAACAAUUGUGUGAUUGAAAAAACACAAGUCAGCUUUUUGAAUAAUAAUUUAUUAGUCGAAUGUGAGAUAAAAGUUGUAAGAGCAUGGUUGAAAUUAUAGCUUAUGUACUAUAUAAGAAAUUAAUUAUAUUUCCCCAAGCACAUCUUUAUAGACUACAAAUUGAUAGAAUCCACCGAUCCCAUAUCGGCCGGCAGACCUCCAUGUGAUCUGUGGAGUUAAAGGAAGAUUCAGUCCCGGAAAUCUUACACGAAGCCAAGGAAGAAAGCAUGGAGUAAUUAAAGCAAGACUGCAAUUGAUUAUAGUGCACUUGGCUUCUCAAGAGGAAACAUCAUGCACGAUGAGCCUUGAUCCUUGAGAAAAGAAUACCGAAAGUAUAAGACGAUCUAGUUCCACAUGCAUAAGUAUAAUGACAGAAUCUUCAAAUAGCCUGAUAGUGUUGAUAUCUUUGAUCGCUAGCUUUCUUGCUUUCUUCUUCUUCUUUUUCUUUUACACGAAGUGAUAACAGAAUAAUUAGCAUCGAGAGGUCAGGUAGCGUAAACUUCAAGAGAAAGAUUGUUGACAAAUCAUACAUGCAAGUAAUUAUGUAUGUGCAUCUAAUAAAUCAAGUGUUCUUGUGGGAGCAUGAUACACAAGAAAUAAUGGAUGAAUGGGUGAACAAAUCGCUAUUAAUUGUUAGCUGGCGUGAGCUUUAAGUAGGAGAAAUGAUUUUUCUUCCAUAAAAGAAAGUUGGAGAUGUAUUUUAUGCACUUAAUGUCAAGGAAUUUGACCCUCGUUAGAUUAUUAUAUCUCUACCAGGGUAAGAGCAGCAGAAACAGAAGAUGUAGAUUUCAAGAUUCCAAGCAUAGCCCGUCAAAAUGAUCAGUGUCGAGGAAGGUAGCGAUAACAUGUGUGCCUGAAAGAAGCAAUCUCUCGGUUUCCACUGAUGAAGCCCCGCCAAACAAGGAAGGUUAAUGUUAUUUUCGGAGGACCCAUGAUCUCAUGUGCAGGAUUUAUGAACCUGUGGAGACAGUGGUUAGCUAUCUCCAUUUGAGAGUGGUCCAGUUGUUGAAUUGAAUGCUCCUACUUCAUGUUUCAGACAAGUACAAAGGUGCCACUCUCUACAUUCUUGAUCAAAAUCUUGAGUACAAUGACACCAGAGGGGACUAAAAUUGAUCACAAACCAUAGUAUAUUCACUAAUAUUUCUUGUUCUUUUGUUUUUUUCCCCACAUUUACAUCAGUACCUAGAGGAGGUAUACUUGACAAAUCGCCUAAUGACUGUUAGCUGAGAAGAAAGGCAAAACAAUUUGGAUUAACAAGGAGAUAAAUAUAAGAAUAGCCCAAACCGACUGAGUGAUCUCGAGAUGAAACCCAUAUCACCCAACAAGAAAAAAUAGGAAAAAAAAAAAGAAGAAAAAAAUCCCACCCUAUACCAUUAAUCCCUUAGGGACAUCGCACAUUUCUUCCGGGUCCUCCAUAGUAAAAAUAAUUACCCCAAACUCUAUUAAUACCUCCUUGUAUAUCAUAGCAAUUCGGAUGAUCAGCCAACACCCUUAGAUUUGACAAUGGAAUUAAGUUAUUGUCCCAAUCAACAACCUGCAAAUUUCUAAAAUACGAGGCUUUUCCAAAACCUUCUCCCGCAAAGUGACCACUUCCCAUUUGUGUAGAAGUGUGGAAUCCUGAUGGCCUAGAGUUAACAAUCUCUCCACCAAAUUGUACCAUGCUUGCAUGAUCCCUUAGGUGAGUGAACAAAAACGAUGGCCAAUACCCUACUAGAACCCCAUUUCCGAAUUCUAGCCACCAAUUUCCAUGCUUUGGAUCCUACACAAAAGUGAAUUUAAAUCGUUGUUAAUGUUUCUUUGAUAUCACACAAGAGUUGCAAAAACGCAGCUCCUUGUAAAAAAUAGGGUGGAAAAGAAGGAAAUCCAGUUUCUGCAUGCUAGGGACCAAAAACAUGAUGAUUUUCUAUUUGUCUUACUCACUAAGCCAGGUUGUUAAACAAUUAUGUGAGAAAUUAUAAGAAGAAAAAAAAGGUAAAAAUACUGAUGAUAAAGUAUAAAAAGAGAGCGUGUAGAGGGGGUCAUGCGUCAGGAAGCUCCUUUACUAAGGAAAAGAAGAGAAUCUAAUAAAGCAGAAAAGCAGCAGAAGGGAAUUACAGGCACUGUUUGAAGCUACGAGUGCACGCCAAUUUUGGCCCAUGUAUGUUAGAGCUGCAUUAUGUUAUAAAGUCAGUGGUAUUUGAUAAUAUUGUCUCCUAGUAGCUAGGGUCCAUCAUUGACCAUCCGAUCGGAGACCAAGGGAGUUUCUUUUGCCAAACCUUUUUACAUCAAAGUUAAAAGUAAUCGCACUGGAUGGUUUAAAAUCUAAGAUCACCCAUCACUAAAUUUUUCUGAUUUUUUUUUAAUAAAUUGUGGGUCUAAAAUUAUCUUGGCAGCGGAUGCUAGAUUACAAUCCACGCACCACAUAAAUGGUACGCUGGUCUUUAUUCUCUUGUAAGAAUUUUAUUCGUUUUCACUCUAAUCUCUCUAUAUAAGGGUACAAGUGACUAGUUUCAUAUCUGGAAGGGGAAAAAAACAAAGAAUUUAAUUUUACCUUCCAAACCAAUAAGCUAAUAUCGAACUGUCCUCCACUGUAGGAAGAUGUUGGAGAGAUAGCGGCCCCAAUAGCAAUUCUACUGUUGGUUUGAACAAAGCCUGAGCACAGCAAGUUGUAGCAUCCAGUCGCUUGAUAAGCGUCAGUCUGUGGUUAGAAAUGAAGCUAUUAGUUACAAAGUCGCCAUGAUUAAUGUUACAGUUGAAGGUAGGAGUAAUUAAAUGGAGAGAGGAUCGAGAAGAAGCCAAGUUUUAUAGCAUAUACUCACAGUCCAGUAUGUAAAGAACCGUGGAUAGUUGUCCCCGUACAGUUCUGGGCUAACCUGCAGAUAAAUAUUUAAUGCAAUGAGCCAUCAAGAAAAGAAUAAUGGAGUUGAGAGGUGGUUGAGUUCUGAGAACUGCUUUGAAUGUGAAUACAAGAUGUUAACCAGUCUGUUUCAAAAUCUAUGGUGUUUCCAUAAUUCAUAAGUCAUGUGUGUGACGAACAUAUGCAAAGGUAAAGACUUGGUUGUUGAAGAAAAAAUGAAAAUAAUUAAGAAAAAGAGUAAUUUAUUACUAGUAGAUUUCUUGAAAAAUUAAGCACUUGUGGGAGAUCAGUUCUUUAUUAUACCUGCCAGCCAGCUUCAAUGGUAUUGAGAUCAUCGCCAAAUGAACCAGAAAUGACCCACAUUUGUGACAAACUGAAUUCAUAUUGGUUAGAAACCGUGGGUGCCCACACAUUUAUGCUGGCUUUUGCUCCAUAAUACUGAUCGCCGGUCACAUAUCCAACCGCAUGCUGUAACCCAACAGUAUGAAAGCAAAGGACAAUAAAUAUACGCUGGAAACUUCAAGUGUUAAGCCUACAGUCCUUUUCCAGAUAAUAAUAUCACUGGCCCUUGAGGAUUAACAACCUUAUAUUCUUGAUGGCACCAUGCAUGAAUCUGAAUAGCUAGAUUAUAUGUGUUCUCUCUUCUUUUUCUUUGAAUUUGGUGGGUCUGUCAGGUUAAUUCACAGAGCUUGAUCUUGCAGGCAAUAUUAGUUCAUAGUUCGUACAUGGAGUCAAAAGAGAGCUCAUUGACCAAAAACGAUUUAGUUCAAAAAAAGUGAAGUAAAAUGGUGAAAGUCUGAAUUCUAUGGAUAGAAAUCUGAUUCUGUUUUUUCUUUACUUUUAUGGUAGAAUAAAAGAACAGCCAGCAGCCAGAAUUCCUUUUUUUCUCAUGAUGGGAAACGCAUGCAGAUUACAUAUAAUUGGAUAUUAUAUAUCAAAUCUUACAUCAAAUCAAAUUGCAUAUCACCAUUUAAACAUGAAAAGGAAAAAGAACGAUAAGGGAGGAAUUCCCUUUGUUUUAAUAAAUCUGAUGAAGGCUUUAAGAAUUCCAAAAGGCAGUUUUUUUGUUUCUCUCAAGCUCUUAAUCUUUCUUUGUGUUUCUAAUACGAUGGUUGCCUUCAGAAAAAGCAACAUGAAAAAAGAAGAGACGGACAGCAGGUCUAUCGGACCUUCACCAUUUUGUUUGACCACUUUGUUUUGUGUUGUUGAGUUCAUCAAGGCUUAACCAACAGGAAAAGAAAAGAAAGAAAAUACAUGAUUUGUUUCUUAUCUUCUAAUGUGAAUAAUUCUUAUUUGGAUACUAACCUCAUGACCAUUGCUGUUAGUGUCUCUUCUAACAUGCCUUCUUAGUUUUCUGCCAAAUCUUUGAACGGAGCUUGCUCUUAGCAUGUCUUGUUCGGUUGUUCUUCUGAUAGGAACUGUCCCUUCUGGGCAUGAUUCACCAGACAAACCCCACGAUUGAAAAUUCUCGGUUACCAUGCCUGAUGGAUCAUGACCUUUAGGUCUCUCUGGAGGCUCCUGCAAAAAAUUAAAUAAAAAACAUCAUGUAUUAGUUCAGCUUGAAAGCAAGAAUUUCACAAGAAGAAUUCGAAAUGUAUGAAGUAGUACGCUAUAAUUCAAGUACCAACGGUUUUUGUCCUUUCAGUUGAGGGUGAUCAAAAGCUGGUUGCAGAUGGGACAAAACACAGUCUAUAAUAUCACCAUCAGGACUCUGCAGUGACAAACAAGAACCAAACAACUACCUGUUAAACCUCCAAGAACAGAACAGAAACAGGGGAAAUGAAGUCAAAUGGGAUUAUAUAGUAUUAGGGACAAAGGUCGAAUGCCUGAAUUGACUUGAGAGCAGGCUUGUUAAUCUUAUCAAGACGCUCUCUUAUAAUCUUCAACUUUUGUAACUCUUCUUGGGGUCGGAAAGUUUGGUUGGUUGCAUGGCCACUGCGGGUUUCCGAGGAGAAAACAGGACGGAUAUUUGAAGAAGCAACAAGAAGAAAGCAUAAGAGAACUGAAACGACUGGUGACAUCUUCUUAUAACACCAACUAGAAGCCAUGUUUGAGAAAUUUCCCAGUCUUGUUUCUUUUGCCAAAUCUGCAGUCGUUGUAGUAUUUGUUUGUUGUGUACAUUGAUGUUGUCUUCUUCUGUGAUCAAAAUAACCCCGUUUAUUCCUAGUUCUUGUAUCCAUCCAGCACAUAAUCACCAUUCUAAGCAACCGCAUUCAAUUCCUCGCCAUUUCCAAAGCUCUUGAACCCCCAAAAAUAACAAAACUAAGGCUUCUCUCCUCUCUUUAUCUGUGUUUCUUAUCUCCUUCUCCCUCUCUCUAUGCUCUCGUACUCGCAGCUUCUAAAACUCCACCCUGGUUUUAUGUGUCUGACACCUUGAGUUUCUAAGCACGAGCUGAUUAAAAUAACAACACACUGUUGGGAUGGGUUUUCUUAAAACUUUGCGCAUCUGGUCGUUGGGUUAUAAAUACUGGGCAGUGAUGAAAUCACGCUUAGUUUUUUCUUUUCUUUUUUUGUUUUUGUUUUUUUUUUAAAUAUAGCAGUACUAAAUUGGAAAGGAGAGAGGGAGAGGGUAUGUUUCCAGCCUCCUAUACAAGUACUGAAACUUUAGCUUUUGUGUUAAUUUUAUAGGGUUACUGAGUUCUGUUAUUCUUUACUUUGGUUUUGAUGAUAGAUCCUUCCCUUUCUCACUUCAAAUUAUUAAAAUUACACUUGACUCUGCGUUUCCAAGGUUCUUUGCUUUGAUGUGUUUCUCUUUCUCACUUCCCUAGAUGUUCUUUGUGUCAGCAACUCUGUUUUUACGAUACUCCAAUUUAAUUCAUUUCCGUUAUUUAACAGACUAGAAAAUUUAAUAUAUAAAAUAUAUAUAUUUAUGAUAGUUCUUACUUUCUAAAUUAUUUUCCGUCUAAAAGAAUAUUAAUUGAUAAUUUUUAGAUAAUUUUUAAUAAUUUUAAUAUACUGAUAUUAAUAAUUUAAAAAUAAAUUAAAAAAACAUCAUUUUAAUAUAUUUUUAAUUAAAAAAAUAUAAUACACCAUUUUAUCAAAUCGCAUACUUAAAUUUACUCAAACCUCGUGCAUAAAAUCUCACCUUGAAUAAAUUUUCCUACAACCCGAACCAUCCCUUCGAUGGUAAUCAAAAAGAUGAAACCCUAGCUAAAUACACAACCAGGCAUGAUUUAGUGGUUGUGACCUAGCAGCUUCCUUUCAUGAAAUAGAUUGAGUUUUAGUGAAUUCACUUUAUUCGACUUUUAUUCUUUAGCUUAAGAAUAUGUUUGGGAAUAUGUGGUUGCAGAUGUAAUUUUUUAAAAAUUAAUUUUUUUUAUUAAAAGUAAUUUUUUAUAUAUAUAUUGGAUUGUUUUGAUGUGUUAAUUUCAAAAAUAACUUUUAAAAAAUAAUAUAUAUAUAUAUAUAUAUAUAUAUAAUUUUAAUGUAUUUUAGUACGAAAAGUAUUUUAAAAAGCAAUCAAGCAUAUCAUAAAACCUAACGGGCUUUCUAGUGAAAAAAUCCCUGGCUAAAUAGUUCUAAAUUUUAUUUCAAUUAUUAACAACUUAUUAAAAACAUCAUAAUAGAUUAAAAAAAUGUCAUUAAUUUUCUCUGUUCCGAUCUAGGGAUGCCUUCAAUGUCAAGUAGCAUGAACUAGGGCGUGUGUUCAUGCAUAUAUGUACUAUAUAAACAGUUUUACAUAAUUUAUCUAAUCACUUCAUACUUUAUCUUCCUUAAUUAAAUUAUCACAUUUACUUCAUUUUAAUUAAUUAUAACAAUCUAUCUAUACAACGUUUAAAUUGUGAGAGCUUUAGAAGUUCUAGAGACAUUCUCAGAGUUUUCAACUCCAAUUAACUUUGUUAAUCCUUAAAUGACUUAUCAAGUUUCUCCAACUCCAUAAAUGGUAAUUAUUAUUAUUAUUAUUAUUAUGGCUUAUCAAGUUUCUCCAACUCCAAUUAACUUUGUUAAUCCUUAUUUGUUUAUGCAAUCAUACCAUGUUUUUCAAGAAAUCUGAUUUUUUAAAAAAAUUAUUUUUUUUAUGUUUUUAGAUUAUUUUUAUGUAUUAAUAUGAAAAAUAAAUUUAAAAAUAAAUAAAUAAUAUAUAUUAUUUUAAUAUAUUUUACUAUUUGUUGAAAUAAAUUGGUUUGAGUCUUUCAGAAGAGCUUUCUAAGUUAACUAUCCCCACUAACAACCGAAUGAUAUUAAAGUUCUGUUUAUUUUUAUAAUUGGAAAGUGUUUAUGUAAAAUUUAAAUUUUUUUAAAAUAAAUUAUUUUAAUGCUUUAAUAUUAAAAAUAAAUUUUAAAAAAAUAUAAUAAAUAUUAUUUCAAUAUAUUUUAAAAUAAAAAAUAAUUUAAAAAAUAAUCACAAUCAUAAUAUUAAAAAAAAAAAUUAACCCCUCGUUAUUUCUUCUAACCAUGCCUUUCCAGUACUUCACUAUCCCUUUUUAGGCUCUGGCAAUGAUACCUACCACUUCCCCGACGGUCCCGUUAAUAUUUAACCCCUCGUUACGAUAACAAGAUAUUCGUUUACACAUUUAAUUUUAACAAAAUUAUAUUUUAAAAAAUUAAAAAAAAAAACUCUAUUUAUCAGAUUAAAUGCCCUUAAAAAGAUCAUAAUUCAUCAAUACUGUAAAAAAGAGAGCGUGUUAAGUUAUUUUUAAAAAUUAUUUUUAUUUAAAAUUUAUAAAUAUAAUAUUUUUUAUUUUAAUAUUAAUACAUUAAAAAAUUAAUUAAAAAUAAAAACAUGGCAGAACAACAGUGCCGGACUAGGGAUAUCGAUAUGGGAUUUGAAAGCUGUGAACAGAGUAUUUUAAUCUGUUUUUUCAAAAAAUUCAAUUUUUUUUUUUGUUAAAAUUAAGUAUGGUUUGUAUUUUUUAGAUCGUUUUGAUGUGUUGAUGUCAAAAAUAAUUUUUAAAAAAUAAAAAAAUAUUAUUAACAUGCUUUUCAACAUGAAAAACUAUUUGAAAAGGAACAAUUAUUACAUUUUCAAACACUCUCUUAGGGUGGCUUGUGAUGUUCGAGUGGUAGUGGAUUAUUAAUUAUACUUGAAUUAAGCCAAGACGUACUGCCGGAGACAAGAAUUUGGAGAUUAGGACGUAGUUCUAUAUGAAAGAUAAUUAGUGAUUUAUUUUAAGACUGAAACCGAAUCAUUGCGACCUAUUGGUGCUUAGUCCCACCAAUUUAUUUAUUUAUUUUCUCGUAAACCUCAAUCUUUCCUCUUUCUAAUGAUUUUUUUAGCUGUCAUUAGGGGCGGAUUUAGGAUUUAUAGGGUAGAAUUAUUACUCUACUAAAUAAUAUUUUAUUUAAACAAAUUAUUAUAUCAAAAUUGAUGUAAGACAGUCGUAAAAUAGUCCAUACUCUUAUUUAACUCACUCUUCAUUGUAGAUCAUGUAAUACAUUUUGAAAACAAAAAUCAAAUAUGUUUGUUACAAUAAAAUUUCUAAUUAUAAAUAAAAAGCUCUAUACAUAUAUUUAAUUAAAUAAAUUAAAAAUUAUUUGUGUUGAUAAAUACAAAAAAUAUUAACACAUUUAUUUACCUCACUUAGUUGUAGAUCGAAUAAUUAUUUUUUAUAACACAAAUAAACUAAUGUGUAGGUGUUCUUGAUUUUUUUUUACAACGAGUAAAAAAUAUAAUUGUGAAUUAAAAAAUUUAUGUUUACAAAUAAAAUAUAGUAAAUAUCAUAUAUGCUAAUAAAGACAUGUAACAUCUCAAAUUUAUUUUUAAUGUAGUACAUAGAAAAAUAGGACAAUGUUGUAAUUGCUAUGUUGAAACACUAUUUUCUUUGUCUUUGUAUAAAAAAAAAAAUUAAAAAGUGUAAGGAAAAAAAAGAAAAAAUUACAAAAGAAUGAAGAUAAAAACAAAGAAGAACUUUAUAAAUAUGUUAAGUGUAGAGUGAUAAAUAUUUCAGUGUAAAGAAUAAAAAAAUAAUAUUUUUUUUUCAAAAACAAUGUGAAGAAAAAAAAGGGAAAAAGUAAAAAACUAUUAUAAAACAAUAAAGAUAAGAAAAAAAUAAUGAUGACUAGGUCAAGUGUAAAGUGAUAAAAUUACAAAGUAUAAAGAGAAAAAAUAAUAUAACAAAAACUUGUUUUUUUAAAUAAAAAAAAAAACCAAAUUUGCCACCAUUUUGGUAAACAAAAUUGGAGAAAAUUUCAAUUGUGCUAUUUCUACAGUAAAAGUGUGUUUCCUUUUAAUAUAUAUUAUACUAGAACUCACGCUACGUCGCAAGCCGACAAUGUUUUGAAAAUAAGAAUCAAGAAGAAUUCGAUGUCCGGGUCAUUAACUUGACUAUAUCUAAUAAAAUCAGUUAAUUUAAUACUAUAAUUUAAAUCAAAUGUAACAAUAGAAAAAGAAUCAUAAAAACACACUUGGCAAUGAGAGAAAAAAAAUGAAUCAUCGAUAUUAUACCUGUAAGGAGAAGAAAGAAAAGAUUGUAGGAGACCCACCGCUACUUGACUGUGGACAUCGCUUGCAAUCAAAAGAGUUUGCUGAGUUGGUUUAAACUCCACUGCAAGAAGAUACAAAACAACACCGAAAGAGACUGCAUGGUUUGCAAGAGCAAUGCCCUAUAAAAACAAAUUGAACAAAACACGGUGAACGGAGUAUUUAUCUAUAUCCAAUCAAUCUAGUCUAUUUAAUUAAAAAAAUAUUUUGAAAAAGUUAUAUCUAACAAAGAACAAAACAUAAAAGACCCUAGAUAACCCAACCAAAUAUAUAUAACAAAAAAAGAAAAAAAAAGUAGAAAACAUAUAUAAAAAUAACACAGAGCUUAAUCUCUAAUAAACUAAAUAUUAAAUAAUAAGAUCUUAAAAAAAAAAACAUUAGCUUAAAAGAAUAAUAAAAAGAAAAGGCAACCUCUAGUGAACUCCCUUAAAUUUGGUUAUUUUUCCAAACUAGAAUAUGUGAAAUUCUAAAAUAAGGUUAACUAAGAAGCUCAAAUCUAAAUCAACUCAAUGUUAAAGAAUAAAAUGAGUGUAAAAAAAAAACACAAUAAAUAUUUUUAGCAAAGCAAAAAAAAAUCAAAAAAAUAAAGAUGAAAUCUGAUAGAAAAAAAAAUGAUUGAGGGUGAAAUCGUCAAAAAGUUACACUAUAGAAAUUAUCUCAUUUGACAUAAAUAGAAAUUAAAAAAUAAAAAUAAAAUAAGACAAAUUUAUAAAAUCAAAUGAGGAAGAAAUUUUAAAAAAUUAAGUUUCAUAAGUUAUUUCAAAUAAAAGAAAUAUUAACCAAAAGAAAUAUCAACGCAGGGCAAGACUCAGGUCAUAAGUAAGGCUGACUGUUAACUUAAGUCAAUAUAAGAAUAAAAGUGAUUAUUAUCAUAGUUUUAGAACUCGACUCGGGGGUCGAUCUCGGGUAAAGCCUGGGUCACAUGUUAGAAAUGUCAACCUGGGUUAACAUAAAAUAAAAUAUGGUUAUUAUCAUAGUUUUAAACUUGAUUCAGGGAUCAAAAUAGGACAAAGCUCAAGUCAAGUAUUAGGAGGGUCAACUCGGGUGAAUGUAAGGAUAAAAAAUGUUAUUAUCGUAGUAUUAAAACCCAACUCGAGAGUUAACACAAGUUGACUUAAGUCAAUAUGGAUACAAAUAAUAAUUAUUAAAGUUUUAAAACCCCAUUAGGGACAAUCAAUUUGUUUUUAAAAUAAUCAUAACAACCUUAUUUUGAUUUUUUUUUUUUGAAAAAAGUCAAUAGGUCUUUUACUCAUAUUUUAUCUUGGGUUGCCUUGGGUUUUUGACCAGGUCAAGUUGAACCAAUCAUUUCUUUAUUCUUUUUUAAACUCGGACAAAUCUAGGUUUUAAGUCAACCCGUCGAGUCUGUCUUGAUUUUAUAAUUAGGGUUAUUAUAAUAUCAUUAAUUUAACACUUAAAAAAAAAUAUCUAACUAUUUUUUAAAAUAUGUGAGUUUGAUAGUAAAAUAAACUUUUUUAUAUUUUAUUUUAUUUUAUAUUAUAUAAAAUAACUAAAUAUAAUAUAAAUAGUCAUUUUAUCUUGUAUAUUAUUUUUAAAUAUUUUUUUUUUGAUGUUUUUUUUUAUCUUAUCUUUCCUUCUUUUUUUUUCUAUCCCAAAACAUUAACCGCGUAGCACUUAAAAGCAUUCGUUAAAAAAAAAUAGAAGAUGGUCUCAAAAUCGCUAAUAUACCCGGAGCAGAUGGAGUAUAACUAGGACAGGCAUGGUCCCCUGAUGCAUAAGAAAUGUCGGUGAUCCCCUACAAGCUUGCCACAUCAUUAGCAGCUGUCAUCCUGUCGCUCCAUUGAUGGUCAACCCAACACUAAAGCAGCGGCAUCAGACGGUGGUCUCCAAAUGACUGGAGAGACAACUCUGUUCUUUUGACAAAACUUGGUAAAUAUAAUCUUCCGAAAAAGGCAGAGUGAUUCUCGACUUAACAUGGACAGCGAAAGAUUGAAAGUUGUAUUUUGCUAUUCAGAGCAUUUUUUUGGAUUGUCAUAGGAUUAUAAUUUAAAAUAUUUUUUAUUUAAAAAUAUAUUAAAAUAAUUUUUAUUUUUAUUUUUUAAUAAUUAUUUUUUACACUAAUAAAUUAAAACAAUCUAAAAACAAAAAAAAAUUUAAUUAAAAAAAAUUUAAAAUUUAAAAAAACACGAUUUUAACAGCAUUUCUAAACAGAUUCUUGUUUAAAUUUUAAAAGAAAAACCUUAAUUUAAUCUUAAACAUGUUAUAUAUCUCGUUAUUAAUUAAACAUCAGAUAUUUUGAUUUAAUUAAUUUAUUAUGAUAAUCAAAUCACAUGUUAGAGAUUCAAAUGAUAUUUCUCUUUUAAAAAAUAGUUUUUAUCUGUUUUGAUUUAUUUUUCAGCAUUGGGAUUUUUGUUUUUUUAAAAAGAAUUAAUUUUACUCAUAAGAGUUUAGUUUAAUAUAUAGUUAUGUGCAAAUUAACACAUAAAUUUCUUCAAUGAAGUAGAAGGGCUAUCCUUGUUAUAUAUAGUUCAAAAUCCUUUAGAUCAUCAUCGAUAAAAUCCAAAACAAAACAGUUUUUCUUUGAUGUGAUCAUUCAAGCUGAUAAUUAUGCAAUUUCCUUUAUGAGGGGAACUCGAAGCAAGGGAAGUUUUACAGAGAACAAAAAAAAAAGUUUUGGUGUUCAUAAUUAGAUGACCGGCCAUAAUGUUAAUGUUAAUAGUUUUGAAAUUCGGCCCGGUCUGAUAGGUUAAUGUAGGAUUCGAUCGACUCGGGACUAAAACUAGGCUGAAUUGAGGAAAAAAUAGAAGAAGAAAAAAUCUGGUAUGACCCGAUCAAAAACUCUGUUGCAACCGUUGACUUUUGAUUUUUACUAAAACAAAACUGUUUUGAUUAAAAAAAAAUUAACUCGAGUGACUCGAUGACCCAGCUAAAAUCCAGAACUCGACCAAAACUCGAAAUCCAAGCCUUGGAUAGGGUCGGGUCUGAAAAUUAUGCUAAUGUGACAAAAAUAUUUCCCUGCGCGCAUAUAUAUAUAUAUAUAUAUAUAUAUAUAUAUAUAUAUAUAUAGAGAGAGAGAGAGAGAGAGAGAGAGAGAGAGAGGAACAAGCUUAGCUAGUCAUCAAAUGACCAGGCCAUGCGUGUGGUGUGCAGUUGAGCUUGCAUAAUGCGCUUACACCGAACAUAUAUAAAAGCAUGUUGUUAUAAUAAUCAAACCCUACCUACCUGGUCGGGUCGGAUAGGUAGAUUGAGUUAAAAUAUUAAAUGAAAAUUAACGUAAUUAAACCUAGAUGACUUGAUAGAUAAAAUCUCUAUCCGUUCAAAAUUUAAUUUAACUUUUAAUUUUUUCAUCUUAUGAAAGUACUUAACUUUGAAUUUCCAACCACGGACGGGACCAGGAUACGAUCUCCAAGCAUAUGACGUUGUUUGGCUUGACAACGUAAUUUUAAGGUUUAGAUUGUUUAUUAUGAAUUUUUAUAUAUUAAAAAUAUAUAUUCCUUUGAAAAAUGAACUAAAAUUUAUAGAUUGACUAUAGAAUGUUAUACAAUUAUGAAAUUUUAUAGAUUAAAAAUAUAUUUUUUAUAAAAUAUUUUAUACAAAACAAACACCCUCUCUCGAUAAUUUAUUUCUUUAAACUUGCCCCUCGAUUCUUAAAAAUGUUUACAUAGACCACAGACAAGAAAAUAAAAUUAAAAACUAUAUAUUUUAUAAAAUAUUUUAUACAAAACAAACACCCUCUUAAUAAUUUAUCUCUUUAAACUAGCCCCCCGAUUCUUAACCAGGCGUGAUAUUGUUAAUUUGCAUGGGCUAGUUAAUUUUAAAGCGAGAGACUGGUAAAUAUAACAGGAAAGGCUGCUAUAACAAGUACAGCCACCGAAUGCUUUUCACAUGCCAAAGCACUUAAAACAUUUUUUUUCCUUUUCGAAACAUUUGCUCGUCACAAAUUCACCAUUCACGUUCCUUAUAAUAAUUUCACAGCUCCCUGUAUAGCAGUGCGUAUUUGAUAAUACAGAGAGACAAACUGCUUCCUGGUAGAAUCUACCUGUACGGGAUUCAGUGUUUUCUUUUUUCGUCAUCUUGAGAGGAGGAAAGGCUGGCGCGUUGGUAUGGCAAAAAGAUGACAAUAAAAAACACCAAAUUGAGGAAAUUUAGGAAGUGUGGCUGCUUUGACUAUUGACCUGAAAUUUAUACAAGCUCAGUCAAUUGUUGCUUCCCUCGGGUCCUCACCUAGGCACCUGGGAGUUUCUAAUGUCGAGCAAGGAGCGCACUACUGUUUUUAGUCGAAAAAAAAGUUUAACCGAAGUUUCUUGUCCAAGCACGCAAGUGAUUAAUCAACCUUCUGAUCCAUUGAUAACUUGGAGAUGAUUUUUUAUUAGAUGGGCCAAACGGCACUAAUUUAGCGUACUCCAUACCAUUGAAUUGUGAUUGGAGACAUACCUAUCUGUAAUCAUGGUGUCUCCUACUCGAAGCCAUUAAUUUGGCUUGAGGGCCACACCCGUAGAGAAAGGGCCACAAGUGUGAAUGUUGCGAAUUGACAUUUCUUUUUCGAUAAAUUCUAACUCGAGAGUGGAAGCAAAGUUCUUGGAUGGUUGCAUUGACUCUAGAAGAUGAGUCGAAUGACAUGAGAGGUCACAUCAGAGGAUUUGUAAUGGGUCAACAUUGUUCACUGUUCAUGGGUUUAAUGUUAUUGCAUGGAACAGUAAUUCUGAUGAUGAUGCAUGCGCGGUUGUAGCCGGAAUUUUUGUCGGCAGAACCAGGUCCCUCCAUACACGUAUGCUUCUCUUGACGAUCAGCCCCUGUAGCCAGAUCGUGUCCCUGUCAUGAAUUACAUAUGAUUUGUAAUUAAAAUCCCUUAUAAUCUCUCUUAUCUCUGCAAUCUCUUCUGAUCUUAUUUAUGGUAAUUUUGAGGACGUCUUCAAUCUUAGAGAACUAAACAUGUUUUGGAAAAAUCUGCAAAGGCUUAUGUCAUCCGGUGCAACGCUGAAAAGCUUGGUCGAUCAAGCAAUUUAGCUAGCUAGCACUAGCGAUAUUCAAAAGCCAGUUGACCAGGACAUGACAUUGUUGAUGGCUUAGAGAAAGUCUGACCAAGACAAAUUCAUGUGCGUGAUCGAGCGAUAAACCCCACAAGGAAACAAAGGUGAGCUUUUUAUUUAGGACUGGAUGACAAUGGAUAUAUACACACACUCUAGAAACCUCGAAAAAGAUGAGCAGAUAAGAAAUGUGAAAGAGAAUGUAAGGUUCCAUUCCACUUCGAGUGGGCUGAUCUGCUGGUCUUCACAUUCAAUUCUCUCCCGAAGGAUAGGAAUUAUACCAGCCUGUUCCUUGUAAUCAUUAUCAGAACCAUAGUUCCUUCGGUUUAUUUUUCCGAGUUUAUAUUUCGAAAUCAGUAUUUAGAAGAAGAAAAAUUACUUGUUCGGUGUUCUUAAAAUAACUUGAAAAGAAAACCUUGAUUUUAAUCGAUGUAUAAAGUUGAUCAGAAAUAAAAAGUAUGAAAUGGUAUACCUGAUCACUAAAGAUUUGAGAAAGUAAAUAAUAAUAAAAAUAAACACGCAUGAUGUUAGAAAUCAGGGCCUGUAUUUGACGAUUCAUGCACAUAGGUUUCAUUAUCCCUUACAAAAGAAUAGCAUCAAAGCAUCUAGCUUUUGAACAGUAGCCAAAAGGUGGAAGAAAAAAAAGAGAAUUCCACUCGGACCCAUAUGAAAAGAAGAGACGGAAUAGAAUAUCAUGAUAAAGAAUGGUUAUGGUAAUGAUGAACUCAGAACCACUGGACAAUAUCCUUUUUUGUAUACGUCAAAACUCCUAACACCUUCCCCUCUGCGAGUACUGUGAGUCGUAUACACACCAGAGCAGGAAGACAUGAUUCAUUUGGGCGAUCGUUUCUCUGAAUGCGUGUAGCCUAGGAGUAUUUAAUAGUAAAGGUUUUUGAAAGGUGAAGAAAGAGAAGAUGGCAAAGGUUUCCAGGCAUGGAACAGUGAGGCUAAGCAAUCAUUUUGUCCAGGGAGCAUGGGCAGCUUUCCGAGCUAAAAAUCACACGAAGAACAGCGAUUGACAUGUAAAUGCCUAAACUAUGAUUUAAGGGGGUGGGUGUAGCAUGCAUGUUCAAGUUAAUUUGCUACCAACUCGUACUUUGUUAAUAUGUGAGCAUAACAUGCUGCUUAAGGUAUCAUUUUUAUGGUCCAUCUCUCCUUAAAAUGGUCAUGUGUAUCAUCAUGAUGUUGCUCGGACAAAGUACAUCUCCAUGGGAAGCCUUUGCAGAAUUGCUUGCUAUGGGGAAGACACUUGAGGAUUUUCAUGUUGGUGUGUUUUGAUUCAUUUAUUACCUUGGGUGCAUAAACUCUUCCCAACCCGAGAUUUGACAUGGUGUAAAGUUUGGUUUGCAGGUCGAGCGGGUAAUUACCCUAAAUUAAUUAUUGUUUUUUAAAUGUUAAAGUGAUAUUUUUUUUUUCUUAAAUCAAAUCUGGAUCUUAACUAGAUCGUAGAUUAACUUGUUAGAUCGAUCAGAUUAAUUUUAGGUUGAUAUUUUUUUUACAUAGAUUAAUUAAGGUCAGGGAUGGGUCGAGUGGUUUCUAAUUGACGUGUCGAGCCAAGCGGGUUAAUAACAGUUUUUAACACCUGUGACGUGAAUACAGAGAAUCUAGCUUGCAUAAUUUCUUCUUUAUUACAUGUUUAAUGUUGCUAGUUCUGCUAAAGAUCAAGUCACAAUGUCUUCGAGUUCUUUACAGGUUCAAAUUAUAAACAACUGAAAUGGCAUUGGAGUACAAUUGCUUAUAAUGGUCCAGCCCUAAACAUAAUGAUUCCACAUAAAACUUGAACGAAGCAGCUCAUGACCAGACACAGAGUCAUAGACAAGACAAGAAGCCCUUUACAGCCCAUGGUCCCAAAUUAAGCCCACCGGAGAUAACGCUGUUGCCAUAUGGAGCCUGGCAAGAGUCCAGUCCGCUAAAAGCCCAUCAAUGUUAGAGCCAUAAUUCCGGCUUCCAUUUAAACCCCUUUUUAUGCUUAUGCUAAUUAAAAUUUUAGUGUACCUAAUACACAUAAUUAGCUUCCCAUUUACUCCUCUUUUUUCUCCUCCUUCAAUCUCAAAUUCUUAUUCUUAAGCCAUUUAAUCAAAUUAGCAGUGCAUGUUCUAAUUUUAUUUUUUAUUUUUCAUUUGAUGAGUAUAAAUAAUCCAAAUGGGAAGUUGCCAAAUUGUAACCUAUAAUAUGAUUUAAAGUUUACAAGAGCUAACCCUAAUGAGUAUAAUUUAAUUGAUUAUAUUUUAAAUUUGUUUUCUAGAAAUUAUCAGUUUGAGUCUCAUAAAUUUCAGGGUUAUUUGAAGAUUUACAUGAUUGUUAAUUUUAAAACAUGUGAUAUUAAUCGAAAUACAUAUAAAUUGAUUUGAAUACCUAUAUUUAUAAUUAAAAAAAAAAGAUGAGAUUAUUGAGAACACGCCUAGACGUUUUCUUUCAUAAUACAGAAUCGAUUCUUUGGGAUAUAGUAUUUAAAUCGGAAUGAUUCGAAAAUCGGUAGUGAUACAUUGAGGCUCUUUUAUUGUUGAUAGUGUUGGCGUUUUUCUUUUUGCGAAAAAGGAAAAGAGGGGAGGCAGCUGCCAGGAACAACCACUAGUGUUUCGAAGUGCAAGUGCGUCUAUGGCUCAAAUGUAUAUAUAAGUUUUUUUUUAAGUAAAAACAAUUUAAAAAACAAGUUUAGCAGGAAAGAAUAAGUCAUGAUUCAAAAUAUAACACCUUUUCAAUAAAUUUAAUAUAAAUAGAUAGAUGAAAAGGGAAAGGGAAGAAGGUGAUGUUUAAAAAUACAGUAAAAAUUGUUUUUCAAAGUAUUUGUUUUUUAUAAAUAUAUCAAAAUAAUAUUUUUUAUUUUAUUUUUUAAAAUUUAUUUUUCACAUUAGUAUAAUAAAACGAUUGAAAAACAUUAAAAAUUAAAUUUUAAUAAAAAAUAAAUUCAACUUCAAUUAGGUUCGGAGAGCACUAGAAUUGUUAAUCUACUCUUCACUUAAUAUCCUUGACUGAAUCUUUGACCUAGACAACUCU